AAGGUGCUGGCGGCGGAGGAGCCAAAGGUGCUGGCGGCGGAGGAGCCAAAGCUGGUGGUGGAGGAGGAGGGCGAGCGUCCUCGGGUGCGAGUUCUGGUGGAGCCAUGAAGGCCCCUGGAGGAUCAGGCGAUACAAUUUCCAGGGCGGCUUUCGAAAGCAACCCUCAGGGCUACUUUCAGGGCCUCCACUCUAGUAGCAAAUAGUAGUAGCUAGGUCCUUGACGCACGUACGUACGUACUAUGUAUGUGUAACAUAUAUGUAUAAAGAAGUACCAGUAUACGUCUGUAGUACCGGACUACUACUGGUACCGGUACGUCGUAUUCUAGCUUGGUUUUGUUAUACGGCGUUUGUAUGUGCACGUAGUUGUAUGAAAAUAAAAAGAGUACGUACCUCUGGACUGGUACAUGCUCUUGCUUUCUGUUCGUUUUUUGGCUGUCUUUCUCAUAGACAAGUCUUUGCAUACAAGAACUAUUUCGAAAGCGGAUAGCAGCUAGCUUAGAAAACCGAUUAGCACUUACUAGGGUUUGCACUUUGCAGAGGGACUCUUCCAGGAUGACAACAUGCAACAACAACAAUCAAGUCAACAACCGAUAUUUUCAUUUUUAUGUCAAUUUUUUUGUUUUUUCCCUCAGUCAAUGUGCAUUCAGAAGAAAAAGCUCAUACAUUGAAGUUGAAACGAAUUGACGAAACCCCAGAUGAAAGCUUCAUAGGUAAUAGGAAAAGCCGAGUAAAUCACAACGGUCCGCUAAUAAUCAUAGACUUGAAAUUCGCAUAAGUGCAUGCACUGUGGCUAUGCAUUAUAUCUGACCCUAUCAAUAUAUAAGCACCCUCCAAGAGCAGAAAGCUACAAUAUCAAUUGGGGUUAGUCAGCACUCAGCACAAAGCGCGAUCACUCUGUUAGAGCUAGGUACAAAUAUGGGUGCUGCCGCUGCUGCAUGUGUAGUUACUGGUGCCCUUGUUUUAGUACUUGUAGUGUGUGCAAUCUAUGGAGAUUCUGAAGUAGCUGUUCCAUCGGGCUCGUCUGCGGAUCAAACGAGAACAAAGAAGCCAUCGAGGAUGAGACUACAUGAUGAAUAAGCUAGCGGUUUGGAAUGGCUGCCAUGCGUUCAUAUAUUAAGUUAAUGUUCCCAGUCUCUCUGCUUUCUGCUAAUGCAACGCCUUAGCUUGGAUCCUAGAUUCCUAGUGUUAUUUUCAUUAAUUUUAAUGUCUUGUUUUCUCUAUCGUAUAUUCAUACGUGAAAAUGAUGAUAGUUGUUGCUGGGCUACAUGAAGUGCUUAUUUACAUCGUAUAUAUGCGUACGGCGUGCAAGCAAGUAAAAAAGAAACACAAAAUAUUUACAUCUCUAAACAAAACAAAAUGUUGGAAAUCUCUUAACUACGACUCGUCGAAUUUCCUGAACCAAUGCAUGGAUGCAACACCAGUCUAUUCAAUCAGGUCAGUUUGAUCUAAGCCGGCCACACGAGGAACUACAUAAACGACACGUCGAUAUUACUUAGAGACUUAACCAAGAAGAUAGCGAAGGGGAUAAGAACCAUGUACAGUAACAUGAUAAUUUUGACAGCUUACGUGUUUAUCAUCGAGGCGAGCCAAGACAGUUACACGAACAAGGUAAAUGGAAGGCCAAUAUAUUUCUGCAACGCGGUUUAUAUAAAGCGCUAGCUUUAGCCACACACAAAAAAAAAAAAAAAAAACAACUAGCUUUAUGCCUUUAUAUAAAGCACUGGCUUCUCCGAAACUCUAGCUUUGAUCCAACGCUAGCUACCAUUAAUAUAAAGCACCACCGUCCGAGUACAUAUCCUUCACCAGAUCUAAGUGAGUGAACUGUGAACCUGCAUUUGGAGUGCUUUAUUACAACAUGGGAGGUGUCUUGGGUACUGGUGGUGGUUGGGGCGGAGGAUGGGGUGGUGGUGGCGGAGGACAAACGUCCUCGGGUGCCAAUUCUGGUGGAACCAUGAAGGCCCCUGGAGGUUCAGGCGCUACAAUAUCCAGGGAGGUUUUCGAGAGCAACCCUAAGGGCUACUUUCAAGGCCUCCGCUCUGGUAGCAAACAGAAUAAGUAGGUCCUGGACGUGCGUACGUACUAUGUAUGUGUAACAUAUAUAUAAAUAAGUACCAGUAUAGGUCUGUAGUAGUACUGGACUACUGGUACCGGUACGUAGUACUGUAGCUUGCUUUUGUUAUAUGGCGUUUGUAUAAUUGUAUGUGUAUAUGUAUGAAAAUGGAAAGAGUACGUACCUCUGGACUGGUACGUGCUCAUGAGCUUGCUACCUUUGUUUUUCAUAAUUAGAUAAUUUGUUACUCUAACUAUUAAAUAUGUUAAUACACUACCUUUUUAUAAAAUUUAUUAAUUUAGGCUUUCAAGAUUAAUUAAUUUAUUUAUUAAAAUUUCAAUAUCGACUAACUUUAAUCUGAGCCAAAUCUUCUUCAUGUAAAAUCUACUUUAUUUAGAAUUUAGUAAUUCAUGUUUGGAUAAAAAAAAUUAACAAAAAUAUAACAAGUUGGCUAAUUUUAAAAGGGUGUUUCUAUUGUCACCCUACAAACCACUUUGUUCACCUCACGUUCUUUUCACACCCCGUUUAUAUAUUUUUAAUUAUAAGUCUAUUUUGUUCACCCAUUUACAGUACCUAAAAUACUCUUUUUCUAUUUUUGCUUUGUUCACCCUAAAUUCUUUUUUCACCUUACAUAUAUUUUUUUCAAUUUCAGAUUUGCUCUUUCACCCAACAUUCGAUCUCUUCUCAACCCGCCUAUAUAUUUUUUAAUUUUAAUUUUAAUUUACUUUAUUCACCGAUUUACAAUAUACACAAUAUCAGUCUAUUCCAAUAGCCAUUGAAUACCAAAAACAAAAUGAAAUUGAAGAAAACCAUAAGAUUAAUAUCAUUUGGCCGGGUAAGUCGAAUCACAAACUUAAUAAUAAAAAUCAUAUUAAAGUAUAAAUCUGAUCAAUUAAAGAACAAGAAAAAACUCUCAAACUUAACAACUCAUUAGUAUCUGUGGAUAUCAAAAUGCACAAUAUCUGUAAACUCUACUUUGAAAAAGCUCUGACGCCGAUGAAAAAAAAAUUCGAAUAUAUAUAAGUGAUCGAUUAGACAUGAAAAUUUACAUACAAAAUUGAUAUGAGAAAUAAUAAAUAAAGGGAUAGACGAAGCAUCAACAAAGAAAAUAUAUAUAUAUAUAUAUAAACAAUUCACCUCAUUUUUAGUUGAAUGCUAGCUAGUGUCUUCUUCACACUUCAUAGAAAGAUCGAAUAUGAUAAAUUCUGGGUAUAAGGUUUCUGAAAUACGUGUUUAUCUAAAAAUAAUAAUUUGUAAUUUGUAACAACUUAUUGUCCCUUGCUAUAAUUUUACAUUAGGGUAUAUUAGUCAUUCAAUAAAUCAACAACGUGUGGGGUGAACAAAUUGGUUUAUGGGGUGGCAAUAGACGCGCCCUUUUAAAAAUAUAAAGUAGUAAAUUAGUAUAACUAAUAGUUAGGGUAGCAAAUUAGCUAAUUAUGAAAAGUUAGGGUAGUAAAUUGACUGAAAUAAAAGUUCGAGUAGCAAAUUGAUAUAUAUUAAGGUGAAAGGUAGAGUAGUAAUUUGGUUAAAACCUCUUUUUUGUUUUUGUCUUUUUUUUCCUUUUUCUUUAUUUGAAACGGUUUUACCAUAAGUUGAAACGAAACCAUAUCAUGUAAUAGGAAAAGUCGAGUUGAGUAAAUCACAACGCUAGCGGCUAUUAACCAAGCGCAGAUUUGCAGACUUUAAAUUCCCUUUACUGGGAAUAUGCAUCAACUUUUACCCUAUCAAUACAUAAGCACCUCCAAUUAAGUACAACAACUACAGUAUCAAUCGGGGUUAGUCGAUCAGCACACUUCACCUUGAUAUAUAUUAGAUGCAAAAUAAUAAUAUGGAAGCUGCAGAGGUUGUUGCACUUGCAUUAGGCGCCAUUGGCGCCGUUGCACUGUUGGUGUGGGGUUUCUCCGGAGAUUCUGAAUCUGCUGCAUCUCAAGUACUUGUUUCAUCGGGGUCGUCUUCGGAGCCAAAGAGAACAAAGUAGGGCUGGGCACUUAGUACCGGAAUCCCAAUCCCGUACCGGUCCCGUCCCGAAAGUUAGCGGGACAGGACGAGAUAGGUUUUGAAAAUAGUAAUCCCGUCCCGUCCCGUCCCGUCCCGUUUUAACAUUACCAUAACGGGACGGGAUGGGACGGGACUAUCCCGAAAAAUCCCGUCUCGUCCCAUAAUAUUAGAAUACUUGAUUUUAUUCAUUUUAUACUUGAUUUUUGGGUUGCAUGGUGUUACAAUGCACUCAACCACACUUAAUUUGGUCUAAAAUAAUACUUUUAAUUUCAUUCAUGUUCUUUUUUUUGCUUGUGUGAUUUUGGAUAUUUUUAGUUGUUGUUUGAGGGUUAAUUUUUAAUGUGGGAUGUUUAGUACUUUUAAAGUGGGAUGUAAUUUAGCACCUAUGCACCUAUGUUCUUGUUGUAUUUUAGUACUUCUAAUUUCAUCAAUGUUUCUUUUUUUUUGUUAUGUGUUUUGGAUUAUUUUUUUNNNNNNNNNNNNNNNNNNNNUGCUUGGAGUUUCUCAACCCGUUUUUCCACCCGUGGUGGUGUUUGAUAAUCAAUUAAUUUGUUCUUGAAAAAAAAAAAAAUUUGUCGGGAUCGGGACGUACGGGACAGAUUUUUAAAAACACCUUCCCGUCCCGUCCCGUCCCGUUCUUUUAUUUUCGGGACGGGACGGGAUUCACCAAAUCCCGGCCCGUCCCGUCCCGUGCCCAGCCCUAGAACAAAGAAGCCACCCAGCAUUCGUGAGCUUGAGGGAAUCGUAAGCGCUUUGGGACGUCGUUGAUGCCAUGGAUGCAUAUCAAUAAGUUAAUAAUGUUCUUAAUUAAUGGUCUAUGUUUUCUGCUAAUGGAACCCCUUAUCUUGGAUCCUACUCGCAUUUUGUCUUGCUUUUCUUCGUUUUAAUAUCUUCUUUUCUCUACUAAGCAGUGGUACAUCCAUCAAUCAUAUACGUACACACAAUGAAAUUAAUUUAUAUAUGCAUUUAUUUAUAUCAUUACAAAUUAUAAGUUUGAUUCCAAGUCAUAAACUUGGAUCACGGAUCAGUCAAAUGGGAUUGGAACCCUAAACCACAAUCCGUACCCCAUCUCACUUUAUUUUUCAUUGUUAACAUAGUUGGUAAAGUUUGUACUUUUAUUUGAUUAGUCAUCACGGGAGCACUUCUGUUGCGGACAGUUGUGGACUCAAUACAGAUUUUCAAACUAGGCUGUUGGAUUGUACGUAUGAAUGGUUUAUAUUUUAAAAAAAAAUACAUGUCUUUAUCAUGUGACUGCAUCACACAACAAAUCUUUCUCACUCCUCUUUCUUUGUUUUCUGGAAUUCUGGGGAAAAUUAACAGAUUUUUCUCUUUCCUUAACAAUAUCCACUUCAAUCCCUCCUUCACUUAUGGGCUGCUAUUACAGUUUUCAGUGGGAUUUCAUUUCUUUCUUUAGUGGGAUUCAAUCCUUACCAAUAUCUACAAGACUAUAAUUGUUGAUAUUAUGCCAAAAACCAAAGCAAGAGGGAGAGCUGAUAUAUCUCGGACACAGGAGAGAGAGAGAGAGAGAUCUAGAGAGAGAGAGAGAGAGGUNNNNNNNNNNNNNNNNNNNNGAGAGAGAGAGAGAGGUGGUAUUGGGUAAGGUUAGUUUUAUUUUGUUUUCUAAAAUAUAGACCAUCCAUGUAAUUUGAUAGUUAAAAUCAAAAGUCCUUAACAAGUCCUCAAAUAAGAAGUCCUCAUUAGAAGGGCUCCUAGUCAUCACACACCGCUCACAGUUUUGAUUUGAUCAUUUCUUAUUUUCCUAUUCUCACUACGCAAUCACUCUGAUCAGUAGCUCUUGACAUCCACCACAUCUAUAACGGUCAUAAUUAAAGGGAGCUUUUAUUCAUAUGCUCAUACCUCUAAAAACUUUACUUGAACCUCCUUGCUUAAUGGACCUCCAAUUUACUUUUACAAAUAAAUAAAAUGUUAUUUACACCUCUCCAAUUUUCUCAAAACGCCCAUAGUUCAAUAAAAUCAAUAAAAAUCUCUUUCUUUUAAAAGAUUCUCUUCAUACCUCCAUGUUUGGUAGUUAGACCUAGCCUCCUUCGAUUUUUAGGCAUCUGACAAUCAUAUUUUGCUUUCAAAAUCCAUCCAAUUGGUUCAAACCUAUUAUUAGCUAUAUCGAGCCGAGCUUGUUUGAUCAGACACAAUAAUAAUUAGCAAAUAAACAACUCUCCAAUAAGUUCCUGAAGCUCAUAAUUGAUAUUACAACAAAUGCGUUCAAACGAAAAUCAAAAAUACAUUGACAAAGAGAGGCUAAGAAACAAAAAAAAUAUGUCUAUAAAUUGCAUCAUCUUUCAAAAUGUCAUGCAUAUUGCAUAAUGUUUCAAGUUUUUCGUAAAAUCUUACUUAAUCAUCGAUUGUGAAUGAUUCUUGAUUUAAAUUUAUCUUUUCAACUUUUAUUGAUGUGGUUGACAAAGUCAAUACUAACUUAAAAAAAAACUCAAGUAGCACUUUUGGAGAUAUAAUUAGAAGCUUCCAUAUUUAAAUUGUCAGCUAGAUAAAACAAAAAAACAACUUCCUAAUUUAUCCCUUUCAUAGAAGACCAGGUCUAGGGUUUUGCAACUUUCCUAUGAUCUUUCUUCUAUAUAUUUUGUAUUCUCGAAGGAUAUUUUUUAUUUGGUUAGAUUUUAUAGAUAAAAUCAUAAACAUUAUCGGGUUAUCAUCCAUUAAUUUUUUUUUUUGACAAAGGACGAGAAAUCAAUUUUAUUGAUCACAACUUAAGAGUAUGAACAACAACAUGAACACGAUCCGCCCGCAGGGGCUACGUGAAAAUUGAAUCAUGCAAAAUUACCUAGUAGACCUACCUAGUAGCUAGACACUACGCAAUCUCUAUGUUGAGACCAUGGGAUGAAGCUCUAUGAUCAAAUAAUAACGUCUUGGCAGCAAAAGAACCUAACCAUCCACCAAGACUCAAGUAGGAAGGGACAAAUCCGCAGCCCAUCAUUAUUGACCACUUCCAGGACCACCCUACGCAGAGGGGGCAACCCCAGAGCAUCAAGUAAUCCUAAUUAAAAGAAAAAGCCCAAAACUAAGGAAUGCUCUAGACCCGCAAGUAGUCCUGGUUUAAGAUAAUUAAAAACAAAAAUAACAAAAACAGAAAUUGAGCCAGCCCAAUAACAGAAUUCAGUCCAAACUUCUAAAAGUAUGGCCCAAGCUCGAACCCUAGGGACAUGAAGAUCAAGGCAUCAACCAACCCAGACCAACCUUGCCGCCACCGUCGCCGGAAAACCAACCAUUGCACUCUCGCUCCUCUUUAGCCGAGACACCGCCAUCACGUUUUCAUUAGACCCUUCACAGAUCAAAGACACCAAGGUCACAAACACACAGCCAUCGUGCCAACAUAGAUCGGCAACCCGAUCCGAGCCAACUCGUGUAUUCGCGGUUGGAGCACUCCAAUUCGCCGUCAGACCAACAAAACCACAACCCGCCAUCACCUUUGACGCCAAACCAACCCACCACCACUCCCACGACUCCGAAGCAGCCUUGCCAACUCAAAAGACCCAACCACCAAUGUCAACCACCUUGAUGUCACUCUCCCUCAUCGUCGAUCUUACCAUACGAGACCAGAACACAAGCUCGAAGGGUUAUCAGAUUCCUUCUGGGGCGACAACGACAUCGGACGCACCGCCGGACGGAGAAGGAAGACUUUUUGAAAACCCUAUCCAUUAAUUUGUUGAAUUUUUUUAUUUUACUGUUGCCCAAGCUAACAACCAUAUAUGGUUAGUGAGUAGGAAAUCAGCAUAGACUUCAUUUGCAUCAUGAGAUGUAUGGAUAUAUAUAUAUAUAUAUAUAUAUAUAUAUAUAUAUAUAUAUAUAUAUAUAUUGCUAUAAAGUGGCAGAGAAUGAGGUUUAGUCCCCACUCCCCAGUGUCCUCCUAAGUCCUAACUAAGGGGGGUCAUGUCCUAUAAGGCUUCAUUGUUUCAUGGAAAGUAAGCAUCAGGAAAUGAAAGUUGUUCAUUUCCAGUGUUUGGGAAAGCACAAGGAAAGGAAACACUUUCUUGAUUCAUGGGAAAAUAUGGGGAAAGUGGUUCCCUCCAAAAUCCUAAUGAACCACUUUCCUUUCUUCUUUCCCAUUUGUUGAUACCUAAAAAAUCAAUAUUUAUGCUCAAUGGAUAUUCUAAGCUCAAUAAAGAAAUACACAUGCAAAUCACAUUCGAAAUACAAAAGUUACAUAUUUAUUCGAAUAUUUAUGCCAUGCAUGUGGAUCUAAGCCACAACUACGCUCUUAUAGCUUACAAGUUUGGGUGUGGUGUGGAAGGUAACGGAAGUACAUGAGGCUUAUUCUCGGUUUUGGUUAUUGGUGAUUUUGGACUUAGGACCGAAAUCCAUGCCCAACAAUCUAAACCGUUUAAUGGACUUGCAAAUAUGAGAUAAUCCAAACCCAUAUGCUUAACCUAAUCACCUACCUUAACCCUAAUGCAAUAAUCUUUCUACCCGAUCAAACAAGCAGUAUUUUCUUUAAACCCCGUAGUAAGUCUAAUCCUCUUCUUCUACACUAAGCACAAGUCCCCAUCAGCCUUUUCUUUUACUCUGUUCUAAGCUCUAGCCUCCACAAGCUAUUCAAAUAGACACAUCUAUCAACACACAACAACAGCUUUCCUUAAAAUAUGUUGCUCCAAUUCCAACUUCACACAUAACAACUUGUGGUCCUACGGUGUUUUGUAUAAUUGAACUCAACAUGAUACAUCUCUUUGAUUGUCCAGCAGACUUGCCUCAUUCACCUGUGUAUUAGCCUCACCCCUUCCAGCCUAUAAAUUAAGGCCUUAAACACAACACAACUCUCACGCAGCAGAACACAUACCUACAACCCAAUGCAUCCCACAAGCAAGCCUCAAGCAUCAUGCCAAACAUCCUUCACUCCAAAAACCAGCUUCACCUUUAAACAGUCUCAAACUCAUCCGCCACCACCAAAACCUUUUUCCCUCCUCACCGUAGCAAGUCUCUCAUCUUCUGUAAUUCAUGUGCUUCUAGCUCCCACGCCACUUGCCAUCUUGCAAGCCUUUUUUAUGUACUUUGUUCAUCUAUCAUGCAAUCAAAAUCACAUCACGUUCAUGCCUCUAGAUCACAAGCAACAUAUCACUGCAGCAGGCUAUCAUCCCCGUAACAAGCCAAUAUUACUGCAGGGGAGAUCUUAGGGAAAACACGCACAAAGCUCUUUGAAGCUUUAGGCCUAGUUCUUGAACUCAGAAGGGGUAGAAAGAGGAAAUCAAGUCAUUCAAGCAAAUCUAGCAACCUCUAUUCAAAAUGACCCCAACACCUGCAUUUAUUACUCAUAACACAAUAUUUUAUUAUAUUAAAUCUCAACUCUUUAACAACUUUCCAAUAGAUUUUCCUGGUGUUACCAAAUAUCGGAAUGGAAAGUUUUUGUAAAAUUUCAUUCUCGUUCCCUUUCUCUUCCUAUAGGAAAGAGGAAUGAACCACUUUCCAUGAACCAAACGAGGCCUAAAUAUAAUACUUAGGUUGGGUUUUAGGUCAUGUGUUAGUACCAUGUGCCUUACACAUUGAACUACUAGGGUACAACAUCUAAAGAAGAUCAUGCACGACCAUAAAUCAAGGACCCCAUGUUGUCGCUUAAAGCAAUAAUGUAACACCCUGACCCGGGUGUUAGAAGAAUAAACGAAUAAAAUAAAAAAAGAAAUCCUAAAUCGAAAAUGAGAUAGGAUCUCAUAAUCAAACAAAGAAAAUGUUUGUUGCGUUUGGAACCUAAAUUUUGUUUUGUUUAUUUGCGGCUGCACCCGAAACUUGAUCAGGCUGCCUACGUACCCUUUUAAAGGGAUCAAGCCACUCGUAGUUCAACAUUUUAAUCUACUUCUCUACCUUCAUUAACAACAUCACAUUUACCACCAUAAGUCCAAAAUUAAAACCCUGCUUACGGACUCCUAAGAACCAUUUCAUGAUACACACCAAUUUAAAAUAUUUUCUUCUAUACCCAUUAAAUCAAAUCAACCCGGCCAUACAAAGCAUCAUGCAUCAACAAAUCUAUACCAAUUUAUUAUCAUUCUAAUAUAAAGUUCCAGGAGAAUAAUUAUACUCAUCAACUUAACCAAACCCCACACUUAACUCGCAAAACAACCUACUCAAGUGCCAAAGAGUGUGUAUAAGUACGCACACAUACUUAUAUACAUAUAAAUAUAUAUACAUAUAAAUAUAUAUAUAUAUAUACCCCAUCAAAAUUUCCGUUAGAAUAAUAUAAAACUCAACUUAUGCAAAUCAUCAACAUUCAUUCUUUCACCUUGAACCCAAGUUUACUAAACAUUCUAACUAGAUUUACUAUGGACACCCAUUAGAUAUACUAUGGACACCCAUUUCAACUAAAACCAAUCCCAAAUCCAUACAUAACACUCCAAUAUCCACUUCAAUGCAUAAGCACAAUCCAACAACUGUCUAACAGUAAUAUUCAUAUACCCGGUUAUCAAUUUUAACCGUUAAUAUCGCUAGUCUUCGGAAAAUCCGAAACCUAACCUACAUUACUCCAAAAAUUGCUAACUUUCCACCAAUGGGCUUCUCUCAUUUUUAACAAUUUAAUAAGCAUGAAAAACUGCCCAAAAAGUGGCAACACCGCCGCCCGCUCCGCCGGCGGCGGCGGCCAAUCUCCGGCCACCCCCAAUCGUCACCAAAAUUUGACAGAACCUUCCUCUCAACAUUUCGAACAACUUUCAUGAACAACACUAAGCUCAAUUCUAGCUCUAAAUAGUUCAUUUAAUCAAGAACAAUAAAACCCGAUUUGGGGCUAAAAACCCUAAAAUUUCGAAAUCUCAAAUUCUCCUCACACACACCAUGAAUCGAGUUACAAGCUUCUAGAGGAAUGUUAUACUAAUCAAACCCAACCUAAUCAUAUAAAGAACUCACCGAUUGGUGGCCUAAGGAGGGAGAAAUCCGGCUAAAACAGCGACGAACAGUCGUACCUUCUCGCCGUGAUUUCUCCCAAAAAGCGGCGAGAGGGACGCUAUCACCACUCUAGAUCGAUAGGUCUCCUCCUUAGCUUCCUGCCGAUACCCGGAUCGCCGCCCAAUUCGGCCUGACGGCGGCGCACGAAGCGGAGAACAGUGGCGGGAGAGAGAGGAUCGCUCGGGAGGAGAGAGAGAGGUGCGGUAAGUUUCUGAUUUUUCUACCUCCCACCUUCGGUAAGUUUCUCUUUUUAUACCCUUUACCAAAACAGUAACCUCCCGUUUUUAGACCAUAACUUUCUCAUACGAACUCCGAUUUGAGCGUGCCACGUGUCCACGAACUCGUAUUAACGUUCUCUACGACUUCCAUAAAGAAAGUUUUCCCAAAUUAUCGACUUAACAAAAAGUAAACUUUUUUGGUCCUUUACGGUAAAACAGUUACAAGAAACAAUAAUUGAAAAUUUACUAUAAACUUCAUAAAUUCACAGAGCAUAGCUCGUCGCUCCGGAAAAUAAUCCGGGCAUACCGGUGAGCUCGUAUAAACGUGUACCACGACUUCGGAGUUUUAAAUCCACUAUUUAUCGUUUUCAGAAAAACUCGAAAACAACUCGAGCAAUCACUAUUUAAAUCUCUGAGCGCUAAUAAAGAAAAAUCUGUGGUAACUCAUAACCCCGAACAGUAACCUUUUUGGUACGGGGUAUUACAAAUAAUAAUAAGAAACUUCUUCCAUGCAGCGCUCCAUUGCCCAAGCAGAUUGUAAUUGUAUCUGUUCCUGUUCCGACGUAGUCGUACUAGAACUUGAGUUGUUGGAGCUUCCAUGUUCUUGUUCUUCUGAGAAUGGGUUAUGAAAGCCGUCACCAAAAUUACUCUCACCAUCUUGAGUGGGGAGCCGCCUCAAAAUCUCUUCCAUCAUUCUGUGCAAAUUCUCAUUGGACCGCUUCAACUCAUCUAUCUCACCACGUUGAUGAACAUCAUCAACAUGAGCUGAACGCCUACGAGUUCCACGCCCUCAUACCAUGAUGGCUAUUAAUAGAACGCACCCUCCAAGAACCGGCUUUGACAGCAGAUUGCCCGCUCUGAUACCACUUGAUGCAGGUGUAUACAGAGAGGAGGAGGGGGGGGGGGGUUUGGAUCCGGGAAUCACUCAACCAGGAAAGAGGGGUUUUUUUUUGGAAUCACUCACCAAAGAAAACAGAGAAUAUACUCUGAAGCAAACUUUCAAUAACAUUAAUCUGCCCAACAAGGCCAAUGUUACAAGAUAUAUAUAUACACACACACAUAGAGGAUGUGAAGCGGACGUCCGCACUCGGUUUAAAGUGCGGACGUCGUCCGUUCUCCGCCGUCUCACGCCAGCGACGACUUCUCUCCUUCCCGGACGACAGCACAGACUUCCAGGACGGCUUCUCUCCUUCCAGGACUGGCCGGCGACAAGUUUUCCGGCCAACCUUGAUCAAUCAUGGUGUUUUCCGUCCAGCGCUUCAGUCCUGGAAUAAGAGAAACCGUCCUAGAAGCCUGUGCUGUCAUCCGAGAAGGAGAGAAGCCGUCGCCGGCGUGAGACGGCGGAGAACAGACGACGUCCGCACUUUAAGCCAGAGUGUGGACGUCCGUUUCACAUCCUCUCUGUAUAUAUAUACAUAUAUAUAUACACAGGCUGGUUCCAAAGUGCACGGCCGUGCUUUUACAAAACUGUGCACGAAUCUUUUUCAGCCGUUCAUUGUUUUAAAUGACAAGCAACGGCUAAGAUGAAAAGUCUCUCUUAAAACCCAAAGUGGGUCAAAUAUAUAGCAUUGCCCGACUGCUCGACUCUUCAGUCUCUCUCUCUCUCUCUCUCUCUCUCAACGAUCUCGUCUCACACUUCUCCAGCCAAAAUCGUGAAAUUCCAAUUCAUGUCUUCUCGAUCUCGCCUCUGGUUUCACGAUUGGUGACAAGCCUAACUUUCUCUUUUCCUUUCUCUCACAGAAAUUGAAGUACUCGAUCAUAUGAUAUAUAUCAAUGAUGGAGCUUUGGCCCUAAAAUUGGAGAUCUGGGGAAGCACGAAAACUCAUCUAGAGUUACUCAAGUAUGGGUUCUCUCUGUUUUGAUAUACUUGAUUUCUAAUUACAAAACAUAGGGUUGUUUUUGUUCUUUUUAUAAAAGAUGUUGUAAUUGGGAAUUUUUUUUCCUUUCAUUUCUACUGGUGAUAGAGAGAAGAAGGAAACGAGGAGGAAGAAAGAAAAGAAAGAAGGGAACAACGGAAGGGAAAGAAAAAGGGGAAGAAAGAAAGGAAGUUGAGUAGGGAGCAGAAAAUUUGGGAAAUCAAAGAAGAUUGGGAGUUUGGCAGAUUCUUUCUUGUUUCAGUUUUAUUGUGGUCUUGAUAGUUUGAGGUGAGUGGCUAUUCUCCUUACAAUUUAUGUGGUUAUGAUUCUCCUUGUUUAGUCUACCUUGCUAAAUUAAGAUCGAUGAUGGUGAGAUUCAAUUGUGAGGGACUCCUUUGUUUUACAACUACACUUGUUUUUGUUAUUUGCUUUAUUGUGGCUCUGUCAAAAGUUAUGAUUCUGUACAUAAUUUGGUUAUGUGUUACUGUUUACUUUUUGAUAGAUGAAUGAGAUGUGGAUUUUGUGUGUUUGUGUUGUGAUCAGGUCAAUACCUAUUACUUGGAGCUAAUUUGAGAGUUUUCUAUCUUCAUCUGAAUUGGUGUUUAUGAUUUCACGUUUUGUUGUGUUUACUUUGAUUGAUAUAUAACAGGGUCUUCUUAGUGUGAGAUUUCAUAUUUAUUUAAGAGUCUCCAAUUGCUUAGCGGAUUAGUAUUUAUGUUCUGGUUUUCUCUUAUUGUUGCAGCUAGCAUUGUUAGCAUAUACAAUCUGGGCACUCUUCUUGUCUCAUAGCUAAAAGGAAAUGAAGCUUGUCUCGACAGUUUAUUACUUUGCAAAUCAAUUUGACGCAGAGACAUAUUCAUAGUUCGAUAACAGAUUGUGGAAAGGAAUGUAAUUUGUAGAUGAAUGUUGUAUUAUUAACCCAUCAGAGAUUACAUGAAUUUUGUCAAUUGUUCCCUAUCUAUUGAAUUCAGUUUCAUCAUCUUUUUGGUGUUUCUUGUUGGUGUUUCAUUACAGAGAAACUGAUUGAAUCCUUCUAGUUUCAGUUAUGCAUAGCAGUAACAUAUGUACCACUGGAGACUUCAAUUGCGUAUACCAAUAACAUAAGUUGGAAUAAUACUGAGAAUGUGGAUCAUGCUCAGGGAUUUAUGUCAAUUUGGUUGGAGUUGGGAAUAAUACUGAGAAUGUGGAUCAUGCUCAGGGAUUUAUGUCAAUUUGGUUGGAGUUGGGUAUAUGAGUUGCACACUUGUUCAAAGGCAUUGUCUAUGCAAUACUUCAUUUAUUUUUGACUUUGUGCAAUACCUAUGAACUUCAAAACUGGCAGCAGUAUAUGCAUACGCCAAAAUGACAGUGCAAUACCUUUGUAUCCACCAAAACUGGCAGCAGUAAAUGACAGCAACUACUGUAAUACACCAACAUUGUUUCUUUAAAGGACAGUAAAAUGACCAGUAGUAUAUGCAUACAGCAAAAUGACAGCAACGCCAAAAUGUUCAUACACCAAAACUGGCAGCAGUAAAUGACAGCAACUACUGUAAUACAUUAACAUUGUUUCUUUAAGGACAAUAAAAUGACCAGCAGUAUAUGCAUACAACAAAAUGAUAGCAACACCAAAAUCACAGCAAAAUGACAUAUACACCAAAAUGACAGCAACACCAAAAUCACCGCAAAAUGACAGCAAUGCCAAAAUGUUCAUACACCAAAAUCACAUAUCAUCAUUGUUUCUCUUUAAUGAGUACAGACCUAUAAAUAAGGCCAACCAAAAUUCAUUGUUUCUGAGAUCUAUUCAAGGCAUACAAAAAUUAUGUGCAUCUGCAGUCACAAAAUGAGAGAUAUUCUGCAAAAUCUGCUACUUUGUACAGAGUGAGGUUCAUUCACAUAGAACAUUGUCAAAUGAUCUCCUUAUACAUUAUUCUACAAAAUAAAACAAGCAAUAGGCUGAUAAGUCAGUUCUUAUCAAGUUAAAUAAAAUGUUGAUUAGUUUUAACAAUAAAACAGCAACCAAUUAAAUAGAAUAGUGUAUUAUCAAGCUUGUAAUGAAUUCACCUGUAAAUGAACAACUAUCCUCAUCAAUGCUACUUGAACUUAAAUCCCAAUCUUUACUAAUAGCAGGUCUACAUAAAUGAGCAAGAAUAUAGAGAUAUGUAUCAAUCAAAAAAUUCUGAAAACAUAAACAGUAAUACCAAACACAAUUUAUUAUAGAUUCUUACUUUCCUAGAAGUGUUGGACAAUUUCUUUUGUCAUGUGACUGACCAUAUAGUCCGCAUCCAUGGCAUUUUUUACCUUGACUAUCCUUUGCCUUAACUUUCCUCUUCUCUCUUCCUUUCUUCAACCUUCUCCCACACCCUUUUUCUCUAACUUGAUCUGGUUCAUUAAAAACAUGCUGAAUAGUAACAGUCUCGGUCUCUAAAACUACUGUGCUCUGUCCACUUUCAUUACCAAUAUUUAGUGAUUUAAAAUUCUCCAAGAAAGCAUCCAACGAAUCCAUUAGGAGUUGGCUAGCCUCAUCACUAACGAUUGCCUUAUCAAUUGCAUCUGUAGCAUGCUGGAACAAUUUAGUCCUCCUUGCAAGUAAAGUUUCGGUAUCUGUUAUCUCUCCUCCAUCAGAAUCUAACACAAGACUCUGCCUUGCUUUCUUAGUCCAUCUCUUCAAGAUGUACUGAAUAGGCAAUUUAUCAACAUCUUGAAUCUUAAUCAAAUAUGACAAAACAUGUCGACAUGGAAGCCCUUCACUCUCCCACUUUCUACAGCUACAUGAUACAAAAUCAGAAUCUUUUUCAUAAGUGAGUUCACGAGACUUGCAAGUAUCAAUGUUCUUUCUCACUGCUUUGCACACACAAGGAGUCUCAUUUUCUCUUAGAAGUUCUAAUUUAUAUUUGAAGCUCUCUUUCAACUGUUCUUGAACUUCAUAAAAUAACUUGUGUGUGUAAACCUUGGCCAUAUGAUCUUCUAUUUCAAGGGACAUGACAGUUUUUGCCUUCUCUUCAAUAUUAAUAUGAUCCUCCUCUAACUCAUAGUGGCGUUGGUGAAGAAGUCCCCUCUUAAACUGAACCAUAAAUUCCACCAAAGAAUUCGACUGAGAAACAUAAUUCUUGAAGAAAGAAUGCUGACUCUUUGCUCUUUGACUACUUGACAUUCCAGCUGAGAAACAAUGAUUAUUUACAUGUGCUAGUAUCCAUGAUGAACGAAUCUCGUAUAUCGACUCCAACCACUUGUUAUCACUCAAUCCACUCUUCUCAACAAUUUCAGUCCAUCUCGAGUCAAACUCAUCUCCACUAUUUGAAUUCCAUAUGCAGCUAUGAAAGUCUUGGUAGUAAUUUCGAUAUUUAACCGCAUCUAGCUUCUCUGAAAAUUUAUUGAGAAUGUGCCAACUGCAAUAUCUAUGAAAUGUCUGUGGAAGUGCUUCUGAAAUGGCUUUAGUCAUAGCAGGAUCUUGGUCGGUAAUGAUCAUUGUGGGGGCAUUUUCCGAGGCAUUUCCAGGCAUAGCAUUUAGAAAUUCUUUGAAUAACCAAACAAAAGAAUCUGCUGUCUCGUCAUUCAAAAAUGCACAAGCAAAUAUGAUAGUCUGUCCAUGAUUAUUAACACCAGUGAAUGGUGCAAAAAUCAUUCCAUACCGAUUUGUGUUGUAUGUAGUAUCAAAAAUAACUACAUCCCCAUAAAAGCUGUAAGCUCGUCUUGAGAUUGAGUCAGCCCAAAAACAUCGUGUUACUUUGUUUUCCUCAUCUGAUUCCAUUCUAAAGACAAAAGAAGAUUCUUUUUCUUUUUCGUUUUGGAAAUGCAUGUACAAUAGAUCUCCAUCAUGCCCCUUCUUCUCUUGACGAAUAUUUCUUCCAUAAUUAUAAAGAUCACAUUGUGUACAACCAAUGUUUUCAAUGCCACCUGCUUGAACACCAAAGAAUUCGAACUGUUUAUGUUUCUUCACAUUUACCAAGCUUAAUUGCUCAGAUAGAACUUUGUUGACUUUUGAAAUACGACGAUGAGACUUCAGUAAAUAUACCCUAGAUGGGCUUGUUAAUGCGUGGUUGUGCCUUCAACAAAUACAGAGAUUGCAUAUCUUCCAGUUUUCUUUCUCACAGCUGCAAUCCUUGCUUUACAACCCACUUUUGGUAAUCCUCACUUACGUUUUUCUCCCUAAACCUUAGAAUCUCCUUCCUUAUAACAGACAUACUGCUUCCUCAUAACAGACAUACUGCUUCCUCAAAUACAAAGAUUGCAUAUCUUCCAGUUUUCUUUCUCACAGCUACAAUCCUUGCUUUACAACCCACUUUUGGUAAUCCUUACUUACGUUUUUCUCCCUAAACCUUGGAAUCUCCUUCCUUAUAACAGACAUACUGUUUUCUCAUAAGUGUAGUAUUAUCCUUGCUCAUUGCACUAGUAUGACUUCUAAUACUAAACUCUGCUUUUUUUGCAUAUCUAUUGUAGAAAGCAACAACGUCAUCCAUUGUUUCAAACUCUUGUUUUAAUUUAGGAACCACCUCAAACUUCACUUGAGGAAUAUAAACUUGAUCAUCAUUUGACUCCAUAUAUGUAACCGAAACUGAAAACCACACAUACACCGAACAUUCUUUUGUCAGUCAGCAAUCCCAAUGAAUUGAAAAGACAAAAUUCAACCAAUGUUAAUCAAUUGAAAAUACUAAAGAAUUUGGUGAAUGUUUUUCAUCGCCACCAGCUAGAUAUAUAUGAGAAUCAAAUCAUAACUUCAACAAAGAAACAAAAAUAGAAAUCUAGAAACAAUAACAAGAAAAGCCCCAAAUAUGAUAAACCCUAAAUUUUGUAAUUGGAAAAUCAAACAUACCAGAAAAGAGAGAACCCAGACCGAUCUAUAUACGUUUAUAUGUUUUCAAAGCUCCACCUUUUGGAGCGAAAACUCCAAGGCUAGCUUUUUGUACCACAAGAUUGCAAUAUAUAAUAGAGAAAGGAAGAAAAAGAAAGCUUUGAUUGCAAGAACUGUGCAACUGAGGAGAGUUUGAUCAUCAAUGGCGAGAAGACAUGAAUCGGAAGACAACGAUUAUGGUUGGAGAAGAGAUCGUUGAGAGAGAGAGAGGGAGACUGAAGAGUCGGGCAGUGUAUUCCUUGCUAUUUGACCCGCUUUGGGUUUUAAGAGAGAAUUUUCAUCUUAGUCGUUGCUUUUCAUUUAAAACAAUAAACGGCUGAAAAAGAUUCGUGCGCAGUUUUGUAAAAGCACGGACGUGCACUUUGGAACCAUCCUCUGUAUAUAUAUAUAGGACUAAUUUCAGUUUACCCCAUCAAUUUUAGGUCGAUCAUUAUGUUAGUUUUUCUUCUUUCACUUUCAUCAAAAACACCCUUUAACUCCCAAUUUUCGUCAGCCGCGUAUGUCCAAAUCUCCAAUCUCUAUCUAAUUCCUCUGUCAAGUGAUGAUUUGAUAUCAAGAAGAAAGUCAAAUUCUAAAAGUUACCUUUCGGACCAUUUUUCCCCCAUAUCGAUACACAUCUUCGUUCCCAUCACAACCCCCUAACCUUAGUGAUUUUAGUAGGAUUGAAUGCAAUUUGUCUAUUUUUUCUUUUUCUUUUUUCUUGAUAUCAAGUCAUCACUUGACAGAGGAAUUGGAUGGAGAUUGGAGGUUUGGACAUGCGCGGCUAAUGAAAAUUGAGAGUUGAGAGGUGUUUUUAAUGAAAUCGAAAGAAGAAUGACUAACAUGAUAAUCAACCUAAGUUAAUGGGGUAAACUGAAAUUAGUUCAUAUAUAUAUAUAUAUAUUGGAAUUCAAAUUUCAAUAGGACUCUCACUAUGACCUGACUUAACAACUUUCUAUACGCAUGACUAGACCAGCAAUUAAAUUACUUUGCACUUCCAAUGGAUAUUAAUUAUAUUGAGAUAGACUCUUAAAUGAUCAUCAACUAGCCACUAGCUUUAUAAAGCACCAGCUUUAUAUAAAGCACUAGCUUCUCCAAAGCUGUAGUUUUGAUCCAACGCUAUUAAGCUACCAUUAAUAUAAAAUGCCACCGUCCGAGUAAAUAUCCUUCACCAGAUCAAUAGCAUUCGCUUUGAAAGAAAAUAGGAAGAAAUGGGAGGUAAUGAAAGCAGGGAAAGCUCUAAACAGGAAGGAGGAGGUGAAAAUGCUGCUGCAUCGUCCGGUGACGUCGACUCUGGGUUGACAAAAGGAGCAGUCGCCGCUGGCGCUAUCGCCGGACUCGCCGCUGUGGCUUUGGGCGUAGCUAAAAUACUUUCGGAUUCGUCAUCAUCAGGAGGGGAGAGAAAAACCAUGAAAGCGCCCGGACAAGAUAACCAGAGGAUUGACAGGGACGAGUUUGAGCGUGACCCUGCUGACUAUUUCAAAAACUUGCGCAAGUCGAAGAAAUAGUACGUAGUAGAUCACUAGCUCAUGCUUCUUCUUUGUUCAUGCAAACCCUAUUCAGCUUCAUGCAUUAUCCUAGCUUAUCUGUGUUCUAGCUUGUACCUGAAAUCUUUAUGCUUUAUCUAUGUUAUUGUGAUUAAUUAGAGUCUAUGAUUGCCUUGUCGUGUUGGAUCUAUUCCUGUUUAUGCAGAGUCCGUAUCUUUCGUUUUAACUUCCAGUCUUCGAUCACUAAGAAUGCAAAAUGAAGAUGUUUCAUAAUCAACAUUCAGUUAGGUAAAAAUAACACGUACAUUCUUUACUGGAUCGGAUGAAGUGACAAUGUAUAAGAAUGGAACCUGACUUGGUUUAGAGUCUUGAGAGUGAAACAAGGUCGAGUGAUCGAUUGCUGACUAAAUCAUCAAGGAGAGUAAAGUGACGGGAAGGCCGGCAUACCUCUUCGUCCUCUACUGCAUGCUGCCGUUCAUUAUCAUCACCAUCAUCAUCGUCUUCAACAAAUCUGAGUCUCUCAAUUCAAAUGGUGCUCAUGAGUUUCACAAAGUUGGAAAAUAUUCAAUUGUCUCGCAGCAAUGGAUCUGGAGAAUACUUAAGAGAAAGAGACGAAAGAGAGAAUGGACGAAUAGAUCUAAAGAACGAGACCAAGAGUGAAAAAAUGAGAGAGACCGUGUUAACUUGAAAACCCAAAAAUCUCACAAUAGUACUAGCCAAGGAGGGUUAGGAGGCUGAGAGCAAAAAACAUGUGUUAAGUGGUACCCUUUAUUUUUGUACUCCCCCUUACCAAACACAGAUCAAACCACUUAAUACCUCUUAUCUAGUACAAUACCCUUUAGUCCCAAAUACCAAACAUACAAUUGGGGUACAACAUCUAAAGAAGAUCAUGCAUGAUCAUAGUCAAGGACCACAUGUUGUCUCAGCAAUAAUAAUAGGCACCGAUGGGCAAUAAUAAUGCAUGUCUUAAACGACGGAAGUUGUAGCGGAGCAACGUAGCAUUUUCUAAAACAUCAACACGUACGUGUUUGGUUGUUAGUGGCUGGUCGUAUAUGUGAGGUGGUACGUUUGCCGUACGUAAGAACUUCUCCGUUGAUAUGUACUCCGACGGUGGUGCUUUAUAUAAAGCACUAGCUUUGAUCCAAAAAAUAAAAAAUUUGAUCCAACGCUUUAUAUAAAGCACUAGCUUUAGAAACCACUAGUUUUAUAUAAAGCACUAGCUUCUCCAAAGCUCUAGUUUUGAUCCAACGCUACCAUUAAUAUAAAGCACCAAAGGUCUACCACCCUCCGAGCACAUAUCUUUCACCAAAUCAAUAGCAUUCGCUUUGAAAGAAAAUAGGAAGAAAUGGGAGCUAGUGAAAGCAGGGAAAGCUCUCGACAGGAAGGAGGUGAAAAUACUGGCGCUAUCGUCGCACUGGCCGCUGCCGCUAUCGCCGGACUCGCCGCUGUGGUUUUGGUCGUAGCCCGACUUCUUUCGGAUUCAUCAGGAGGGGAGAAAAAAACCAUGAAAGCGCCCGGACGAAAUAACCAGAGGAUUAAAAGGGACGACUUUGAGCGUGACCCUGCUUCCUAUUUCAAAAGCUUGCGCAAGUAGAAGGACCAGUAGUAGAUCACUAGUUCAUGCUUCUUCUUUGUUCAUGCAAACCCUAUUCAGCUUCAUGCAUCCUAGCUUAUCUGUGUUCUUGUACCAGUAAUCUUUAUGCUUUAUCUAUGUUAUUGUGAUUAAUUAGAGUCUAUGAUUGCCUUGUCGUACUGGAUUUAUACCUGUUAUUUAUGCAGAGUCCGUAUAUUUCGUUUUAACUUCAGUCUUCGAUCACUAAGAAUGCAAAAUGAAGAUGUUUCAUAAUCAACAUUCAAUUGGGUAAAAAUAACACGUACAUUCUUUACUGGAUUGGAUGAAGUGACAAUGUAUAAGAAUGGCCUUCCAUAUUGAAGAGAGAACUCGAGUCCAUCACAAUUGACGAUAUCCCUGCUUCCAUGACAACGUUCUUGAUAGCAAAUACAGUUUGCUAGUGACCUAGUGUGUUCCAUCCGCAUCGAAAUCGGUGAAUCAGACAUCGCUCAAUUCAGAUGUUUCAUCCAAAAUGUCAUGCUUCCAUCUCUAUGGUUAUGAUCAUGGGAUGUGGUCCGGUGUAAAAAUUGUGACAUGAUUGUACAGCUUGAUCGUGAAGUCCACAAAAUGUGAAUAAUUUAUAGAGUUUUAUUGAUGCAUCUCAGAUUCUCAGUACAAGGAAUACAUGUAUUAAUAAAUUAAAAUCCUGACAAAAAUUGGCUUCAUCUGCUUCUCUUUCUCUGGCCAAGACCAUAUCCUUAACUAUUGAAUAGAUAUCCGUAUGAGUGAGACUGAGCUCAAAACGCAACAAUAAAGAUCAGAUUACUGGUAUUGCGUUUGUAUGAACCUUGAUUCCUUGAAUGAGAACCACAGGUGAUGCGCAAACAACAUAACAAGAGUUGAGCUGAUCAUCUUCUUCUCCUCCCCUUGCCUUUUCCUAAUUGCCCAGAUUUCAUAGCAUGUUCUUGCUCUUGAAGGAAAAGUCUUGCUUUUCCAUAUUUCUCAGCUCUCUCUUGUUCCAUCAAAGCCUUAUCCCUCGACUUCACCUCCUGCAAGAAAUAAUUAUCUUUACGCAGUUCACGGACAGCACCUUUAGCUUCUUGUGUCAAACGCUUCUUCAACUUCUUUCUCUCAACCCGUUCACGGUCUGGAUCGUAGUCUCUGCCCUUGACAAAGCUGCAGGGAACAACAUACCAUCCAAUGGUUAGCCUAGCCAUUCAGAUACAUAUAGUAAGACACUAGAGGGAACAGGGAUUAAAAUAAAUUACUUCUCCUCAAAUUUUGGAUUGAGCAUUUUGAUAGCCACUGGCUUUUGCUUCCGCAUCUGAAGUGGUUGCCGCCGCAAGCAGUGUUUAUCUGCUUUUGUCUUGAUCAGUUGAGCAACCUCUUUAAAUUUAUCAGUUAAUGCACUUGGCAUAUUUUCUUGUUCCGACAAUUCAAGAACCAAUGUUGAAAUCGGCAAAAAGAUUUCGGGGAAAGAACUGAAUCCUUCGUAGAUAUUGACAUAUCCACGUAGAGUUUCAAUUACAGUCACCAGCACACUAGACCUGAAAAUUGUAAAUUUGACAUAAAGAUAUAACAAACAAACUUAAAAAGUAUAACAGACAACAAAUGGCAUAUGAAAAUUCAAAGUAAUAAUAACGAAACCAAUUUAUAUGCAAAAAUUUACAGAAUUGCCACAACUCUAAAACGUAAUCAUUAGAUGGUGGCAUCGGUCAAUGUGAUGUGAUUUGAGGGUUCAUUUCAUAAGCACCGAAUCUCAGCCUAACGCAUCAUAUGGGCACAUAUUAUCAUAACAUAUUAUCAAGUACUGACAAACUCCAAACCUGAAAUUGUUGGAGGUGAAAAAUGACGAGUCUUCUGGCAGGUCCAUAAUUGUGAGAAAAUUAAGUGGAUCGAUCUGAUUUAUACAUUCAUGUAUAAGUAAAAGGGGUCUGGGUGCUUUUAGUUCCAUAAGAUGAUCAAUCUGCCACAAUAUAAAGAGAGUACGGUUAAUUCAUCAAGCAACCAUAAACUAGACUACCUCAGUAUUCUCUACUAAAAAGACUAUGUUGAGGCGUGUUCUUACCUCAGAAUCUUGAGUAGGCUUUGGUUUUCUCUCUUUGGCCGCCAUUAACAAUGUUUGAAGAAAUGUGACUGCUUCGGGACAGAACUUCCGAGAUUGUUUAGUGAUCUGCAUUGCAAUACAACUAAUUAAGCCUGUAAAAUAAAUACAGCAGAGGCAAAGAAACACAGGCAUGGAACAGUUCAAAACGAUUGAAAGUUACAGGUUAAGGUUAAUUUAUUAUAUUCACAUAGGAGUCACAGGCACUCAAUCAACUUGUCUCACGUGUUUAAAUAUUAGGAUUACGAACAUGAAAGAAAGACAAAGGAGACGCCUCACACAAACUAAUGUAAAUUCAGCCUCCACUUGAAGAGCGCAUCAAAGAUAGAAAUUUUUUAUUGUGAAUAUACUUACAGAGAGAAGCAGAGAGCAUAAGAACAAGCCGACUGCAACAUCACGACCAGAUAAGAUGGGACAACGCGUCAGAUAUUCACACAUUAAAAAUAUUGCUGGAGUCAUGACCACAUGACGAAAGUCUGAACAUGGAAAUAUCAGGGACCAAAGCCUCAGGAGAAACAAUGUCUUUGAAGCAGGCCAACAACUACUUUCUUCUUAAACGAAACAAGAGAGCAUGAAUUAGCAUAGUUUAGCACAACCAAUAACUUCACAGAAAGUAAAACUAUACCAUUCCAUUGUGGAUUACCUGGGUUCUUCACAGUCUCACAAAAUUUUGUUCUGGUGCGUAGUAUUCUCUCACGAGCACAGAUUGAAGCAAAAUACGGAGUCUCCAUGCUCAUCUCCAUCAACGGCUUAACCAGCAAAUUCAGUAAUUCCAAAUUUAGCGGUUUUUUAUUUGCCAAGGUGGCAAAAUAUUGCAAAAGUAAACCAUAAAACACCUGGAAAAUGAAAUAAAUGAGAAUGAGUGCCAAGAUGCAAUCUUUCGACCAAAUUAAAGGAGAGAUGCAAUCACAACAGAUGGAGUAUACCUUAAGUUACUUCACUUCUCCAUACAAAUGUUAAAUUCAAGUCAAGGUAUCUAAGUGGAAAGCGAUAAUGAAUAACACAUGUUUCACACAAAAUACAGUCAAACAUUCAUUGACACAAAAUAGAUGUGGCAAAAGUAACAUACUUGCAUUUUCUUCUUAUUUUCAGCUGCAAGCUUGAUUGCAUUGCUUGCCCGGAUUCGAUGGAUUAUCAAGGCAAUGUCAGCAUUAGAAAGAUUAUCCAAUAAUGCAUCCAACUCUUCCAUGCUUUUCGGAGCUUCAAUUAGGUAUGGGAGGUCUGACUGAGUUAAAGAUUGUUUAUUGGCUGGCAAUUUUUUGGCAUCUAAAGAUUUACCAUCACUCUUACUAGCUUGAACAGCAUCAUUUCUUUUCAACUUUUUCAGAUGUCUUUGCUCCACCUCUUUUUGAUCAGCAUCAUCAUCACCAUUUUCAUGUUCGUCAGAGUCUUCUUCUUCAUCAUCCAAGUCUAAGUCAAGAUUAUCAUCAUCACUUUGUUCCCACUCCUUAUUCAAUAGAUCUCUUUCCCCUUCACUAUCAUCUUCAUCAGAACCCUCAACACCAUCAUCUUCAGGACUUUCUGAACCCUCAGAAGAAUCAGAAUCAUCUCCUUCACUCUCAGAAUCACCAGCAUCUCUUCGUUCGAGAAUCUCAUCAACCCAACCCUUUUUAUUCCUUGGUUCUUCCUCGAGCGAGAAAGAAUCACCAAGAUCAUCUCCAGAUAUAGCUCUCAGCCUCAGGGUAGAUGGUUUCUCAGCAUCUUCAUUGUCUUCAUCACUAUAGUCAUCAGUGGGAUGCAUCCUUUUCUGCCUCUCUUCCUGAAUUGUGAAACUUGUCAGCAAUUAAGUUUACAACUUGAUAAUAAAAAGUACAAGCGAGACAAACAUUCAGCUAAUAAAUUAUCAACUUUAAUGACAUGGAAAUCCCAAGUUAAGUAUAGAUAAAUAAACAAAAACAUCUAUCCUGAAAUGACAUGUCACUAUGUACCAUAUUGGAAUCGAGUAAAUGAUAAAUGAACCAAAUUGAAACCCAAGAUGGCAACCUUUUAGAGCUUAAACAUAUAGCUUAUCCAGGGGCAUAAACCCAUAUAGCUUAUUAGAACAGUGAAGACAGUUCUUGGUGCACCAAUUUAUGCAUACUGCACUUGCCAACAACAAUCUACAAUUUACCAAUACAUGUUCUAAUACUAUAAGGAAGUUCAAUAAUAUCCACUAAUACAUAGCUGCAAGACAAAGGGAAUUUCAUGUUUGGUGGGUUAAGCUACUGUAGUCUAAUAAUAACAAGCAUCUAUAAAGAUAAGGCUGUUGGAUCUGCAGAUGAAACUUGCAUUCAAGCAAGCAUAUAAAUGAAUGAGAUACCUCCAAUUGUUCUAGUUGCUCCCUCUCUUCUUGUGCUAUCUCUUCAGGCGUCUUGGUCCUACUCGAGGGUUGAGCACGCCUUUCCAUUGCCAAUUCUCUUUCAAGUUUAUCAUAAGCGUCAGAUUUCUCCUGCCAAAGCCAGGAAACUAAUUUACUUACCCAAGUCUCAAAGUUAUGCAAGUUUAACAUGUUUAGUACAGCUGUACAGAACAAUAAAACUUUAUAAAAAUAAAAAUAAAAAUAAAAAAUCUAUUGAAAAUAUCAUACCUGCUCAGAAGUUCCAAAGAUCUGAGUAGCAGAAACCUCAUGCUUAAUGCUUUUGUCUAUAAGAGCUUUCGAGGCAAUUACAGAGGUAAACUUUUUGUCCAAUUCUUCCAUCAAAUCUUUGUUUUCAUCCUUCUCCUUCGACUUUUCAAACUGGGAAUAGAUGAGAAGAAUAAGGAAGGAAUCCAUAACUAAAUUAAAGACUUAGGAAAUUGAUGUAGCCACCACCACAAGCCAUUUCAAUGACAUAAACAAGUAAGAAUCCAAACCUUAUAAUUUUUGGACUUCAAUAUCAUCUCAGCAUAUCUUUCCUUGUCACUUUUAUGCCUCUGGUACAAAAACAACGAAACAAGCAUUGGCAUUUUUAUCGCUCUAAUGUUUCUACCGAUAAAUCUAUAAUCUACUGAAGAAAACAACUUUGCUGACAUAUUAACCUAAAAUAAUCUAGUAUUUCAAUAUAAUGCACCACAAACGAGAUAGCAUAAAAUUUCUCACAUUUUCAUUUCCGUCACUUAAAUCCCCGUCCUUAUCAUCAGAAUUAAAUUGAUAUCUUUCUGCAGAGAAGAAAAACGAGUAACGUUACUCCCAUUAACAUAGAUCAAAAGAACCAAUAACUAAAUCAUAAGCAGUUUCAGUAGCCAACUAGACAUGGAAAAUGAUCAUCAUACACAAAAUCACCAUAAAAAUGCUUACUUUUAGCAGUUUCUCCACCAUCAUCAUCUUCGUCAUCUUCCUGCGGCAUAUCAUCCUCAAAAUCAUCCCUCUGAGACAAUGCACCAAGACUCUGAAACUCAAACUCGUCGUCUUCGCCAUCUGACAAGUUAUACUUGCUCUUCUUGCUUUGCUUCAGCUAUCAAAAAAAACCAGUAAUGCCAACAAAUUCAGUCACAUUGGAGAUUAUCACUAACAUACACAUAGAUCAAAAUCAAAAUUCAAACUCACUUGACGCUCACGCUGGGUACGCCGAAUGGCCUUAUCAAACUCAUCAAGCUCAUCAUUUCCCUCUCCGAUUCGCUUAUCCACAAACACCGAAGAUUUACCGCUCUUCUCAUACUCCUUCAGCAAUGUCUUCUUCCUCUGUUUCACCAAAACCACAUUAAUUACCCAAAAAAAAAAAAAAAAAACAACCUAAAAUUUCAGAGCUUGAAUGAAACUUAGGGAUGAAUAAGUGUUGACCUUUUCGAUGGCCUGAGAGCGAGCAAGGCCGACACGGCGCUCUUCGCCUUUGCGCUUUUUGCCGAGGACGUCGAAUUUCCGCCGGGACCAAAUGGUCUCGAAGGGGUUGGGCUUCGGCGGCUGGACCUUCAUAGCCGCCGCUUUCGGUCCUAGUUUACUUUUCUUCUUCUUCUUCGUCUCCUUCGCGGUGCUGUUGUCGUCGGAGCGACUGAGCUUUGGCAAUUUGCCGGCGAAGGGGUUUGGUUUGGGGGACUGGUGCUUCAUGGAUGCGGCGCGUGGGCCGGACUUCAGCUUCGCCAUGGCUGAGAGAAGGUGGUGGUGGCCGUUGGUAGGGUUUAUGGAUGAAGAAGGAAAGGGGUAAGGGUUUUGCAGUGAGAUUUCUGAUUUUGGGAGUUGGGUCGGGUCGAUUCCGGUUUGGUUCGACUCGUUUUGGGCCCAAAGCUCCAACGGUAUUCGGCGUAUCCCACCUCAGUAUCAAGUACGUACUAUACUGUAUUCUAAAGUCUUAUCUUCCAAGAUACUUAUUGAUCGCCUAAAUGACAAGAUUAGACCUGUAAAUAGACCGGAUCUUGAUCCGGACCCGCUCUGGAUCCGUGGUUUUUAAACUGGUUUGGAUCGAAAAUUAGACCCGUUGAUCCGUUAAGGACUCGGAUCUGUUAACCCGUUUAUUAAACGGAUCGGAUACGGAUCGAGGUUGAUCCGAUCCGUUAAGGACCCGGAUCUGUUUUAAAAUAAUUAAAUAAUAUUUUUAUAAAUAUAAUAUUAUUAAAAAAUAUUAAAUAAUAUAAUAAUUAUUUGAAUAACCUAAACGUCUAAAGUAUAAUCAUUUGAUGAAGUUGAAGGUUACUGAUACCUAUGUUCUUUUUAUACACUUUGCUAAAUACAUUGGAGGUUUAGUAUUUUGAAUAUAUUAGUUUAUUGUUAAGGAGUAUUUUGGUCAUGUAAUUCAACUUUUGAUGUAAACUUUUAUUUUGUUAUAAUAUUUCAUUAGUGUUUUAUGAAAAUUUAUAAUAAAAUUAAGAAAUUAUUAUUUACAAAUUAAAAAUAUUUAUAAUUAUAAACGGAUCGGAUUAACGGGUCGGGUAUUCGUUAACCCGCCGGAUCCGGAUUUGGAUCUAGCUAUCAAAGAUCCGGCGGGUAACGGGUCGGAUCCGGAUCCAAAAUUUCUAUUACGGAUCCGGAUCCGGAUCUAGGUAGAUCCGCUCCAGAUCCGGUCCAUUUACAAGUAUAGACAAGAUCCGUUGUCCAAGAUACAUUGAAACUUUUGCUAGCCCACUCAGUUCCAUUCAGAAGGGAAUUGCUUACCUGAUGAUUAAGUGAAUAUGGGCAAUUAGUACAAUUCUCUACCGUUGUAGAUUGUCAUGUCUUAUCGUUUGAUAACGUUUCAAAUCGAUUAUUGUAAAAGUUUCAGUUUUUAAAUUUUUUGUUGUAAUCUUAAGCGGUCUUACCUGAUGAUUUAGUGAAUAUGGGUAAUUGAUACAAUGAUCUACUGUUGAGCAUCUCCAGCAGUAGAGUUAAAUUUAUUGCUAAAUUUGUCAACAUUUAGAUUUAAAAUAACAAUUUUUAAACUUUUGCUCCAGCAGUGUUGCUAAAUUAUAUACAUUAGCUAAGUUUUAGUUAAUUAUCUCCCCAAGAUUGAUAAAUUGAUCAAUUUUCUCCAUCAAUUUCUAAAUUUAUCAACUUCUUAAGCAUACUGCUGGAGCAAAUAUUCAUUUAAAAAUUGAUAAAUCUCUAAUUUUUUUUAAUUUAUCAAUACUGCUGGAGAUGUUCUAUCGUUUGCUAGUGUUCAAGUUAGUUGUUGUAGAAAUUUUAGAUUUUAAGUUUUUUGUUGUAAUCUUAAGCAGUCUUCCUAUUGUAAAACCAAACAAUUUAGAUUAUCAAAAUGGACUUGCAAAAGUCAGUAUUCAUGUAUUACUUAGUCACUUGAGCACUCGAGUCAUGACAAAAUAUUAUUUUUGACUAUCCAGCCUCAAUUAAAACUAUGAUUGUGGAGUUUGCAACUAAGUUUUUCAUGAUUAAAGAUUCUGACUGGACACAUUGUGAGCAAUUGGCAAACAAUAACAGAAGUGCUAUGAGUAUGAAUUAUAAGUCAUCACUAGUUAGCUAGAUUACCAUGGUUAGUGAGUGGAAAUCAGCAUAGACUUCAUUUGCAUCAUGACUCAUGAGAUGUAGAGAUGUAUAGAUUGCUAUAAAGUGGCAGAGAAUGAGGUUUAGUCCCCACUCCCCAGUGUCCUCCUAAUUCCUAACUAAGGGGGGUCAUGUCCCAGAAAUAUAUACUUAGGUUGGGUUUUAGGUCAUGUGUUAGCACCAUCUGCCUUUACACAUCGAACUACUACGGUACAGCAUCUAAAGAAAAUCAUGCAUGACCAUAAUCAAGGACCCCAUGUUGUCUCUUAAAGCAAUAAUAAUAGGCACCAAUGGGCAAUGGCAGCCUGAGUAAAGACAUGACACAUGAGUAACACUUAUCCAUUCACACAUUAUUAUUCACUAUUCAAUAUGCCUUUAUACAAAACCAAUUACACUAUCAUAUAAAUCUUGCUCAUAAGUCUAUGUCUGCCUGAUUAGUGCUGGUUUUACUAGGCCAAGAGCCAGAAAUCUUUCUGGCGCUUUGUAGUGAUCAAGUACCCUCCAACCUUCUUGCUUUUCCUCCUCACUGCAAUCGCCAUGCAACUGGCAUUCUGUAUACAGUACUCCACCACCCCGCCCCCGCCACCGACACGGUUGCUCCCCGCCCACAUCAUCAGCAGCCGCCACGUCGUAGACCUCUUCUUCUGUCCCAGAACCAGCAGUGACACCCCUUGCUUUUUGGCCUCUUCCACUAUUGUUGGCCCUUUCUCCUUUUUCCCUAAUUCCACCACUGCAACCUCAGUUUGUACCUAUCACCAACACUGAUCAUCAUCACGAAUUUACAUUAUAAAAGCAAUGACAUAAAGUUAUUACUGUCUUUUCUAUAAUGCCAUGUAAAUAAUCAUCAUUAAUCACCUUAUAAGAAGUAUCUCAUCAUUAUAUAUACACAAGACUAAACUGGAAAUUAUCAUAAAGACAAGCGAGUUUCAUAUGCCUAUUAAGGCACCCAACAUUAUACAUGUCAAUGAUGUCCUUCAACCACCCCCUUUAACAAAGUAGUAUUCUAAAUGAAAGAAGCAGUAUGCUUCAACCUCUGUUAUACUCUGCACACAAAGAUAGAUACGUACAUAUUGCUUACCCAGAACAAAUGUACUAAAUUUGCUACAGGAAAGAAGAAUUCUAGUUAAUUUUGGUUCAGUUGGUAGAUAGUAAGAUUAUUCCAGGGAAAAAACUGUUGUGCAGGGAAGAAAAACGUAAGUUAAAACUUGUACAUAUUGCAAUCGAUGAGCUCAAUACACACACCUCAGGUCUCUUCAGCUGGCACAUAUUCCUCAGAGAAUGAACAAGUUCAUAAGCCCUUGGAGCUAUAAUAUCCUCACCUGUAAUUGUAACGAAUGAUCAAAUUCGAAAACCACUUCUCUAAGCUGAAAGAUAAUCAUCAGAAGAAACUUAAAACUAAAAAGUUCUCAAACCUUGUUUUGAAGUUGAAGGUUUGGUUACAUGUAGCAGUACAAGCUUGUCCUGGUUCUGAACAGUGUGAGAAAGAGCCCAUUGCAGAGCUCCCUUGGCUUCAAUGCUCGAAUCAACCACAAUCAUGAUCUUCCUCGCAAAAACCACCCCGGAUUUUUUAGCCCCAUCUCCAUCUGUAACUUUCUCUUCUCCAGCAUUGCCACAAUUCUCAACUUUCCCACCAUUUUUAGUGAUCUCUGCAGCAUCUAGUUUCGACUGUAUCGGUGGAGAACGAACUCGAACAUGAGGCCUAAUCCUGUUGAGGCAGAAACUUGGCAACUUUGUGCCUAUCCUCCCCAUUUGUCCUCAGAUAGAAAUGAGACUACCUUGAUUGAGACUGAAACUAAGGACCAGAAAUUGUUAUAAAGAGGAGGGUUGAAGAAGGUCUGCAAUUUAUUCUAGAGAAGCUUAUAUGGGCCAUGCAUGUUUAUAUUUUGCUUUGCUCUUCUUCUUUUUUUUCCUUUUUAUCGAGGAGUAAUCAUGUUAGCUAGGGUCUUUGUUUCCUUUGUAUUUCUUCUUUUCUGCGCGGGAUGGGGCUAUGAACGUGGUUGUCAUGAAGCUGUAGGGCCAUUUCAGGACCAGCAGUAUUCACUUCAGAUAGUAAUCUGGCAUGUUACUGCAAUCAGUUUUCUUAAUAUUUCUUCCACGAACUUGUUCCUCGCAAAUUAGUUUUUAUGUUGUAGUGAGCAGAAACAAUCAUAUGCUUUUAUGUUGUAGAGAUCGAUCUCUAGUAAGAUGAGAAAUUGGUGAACAUCUAAGAUCGAUCUAACCGUAUUGAGAUUCGUAUUAAUUUUUCAGGACAUUAUUUGGAACAUUCUGCAUAGAUCGAUCUCAACUGAACACAACAUAUUAUCGCUUGCAAACUAUCACAACGUUUAAAUUUCAGCUCCAGGGCCCUUUACUCCUUCUAUUUGAGAUUAUGUUAGUACAUAAUUGUUAGGUUUUCGAAUCAGUAAUCCCAAAUGUGCUGGCAUCCUCUUGGGGCAAUUAUUAGUGCUGUAUGAUUGAAAUUUGGAUUAUGUAAUUUGGAACUUUGCAAAGGCUCGAUAUUAUCACUUGUUAAUUUUAUGCAUUUUAUAAAGAAGUAGCUUCGCUCAAACGCAACCAAAGUUAUCAUUUUACCAGUAAUCAACUCGAAUGAAAUCUAAUUAAUCAUGCUUGUUUACCACCUAAAAAUAUGUAAAUCAUUGACCAUAAAGCUCAACUGCAAUUUUGAUACGUACAAGUAAUUGGGUUUGCUUGUAUAGCGCACCGGCUUCUCACUCACUGUUGCAUCUGCUUCUCAAAUCAAAACCGAGACAACACGACAUAUAUAUAAGUUUGAUGCUUCUAAACAAUUUUGUUUGUUCAUUAAUUUGCACCAAAAAAGGGACGUGCCAAUAAACUCCAUUUUGACUUCCAAUCUCCAAAAGCAAAGCCAAUUUGAGAAAGAUGGAGGAUUUGCAUGUCUUAUGAUAACAAACCGCCCAACCAUGAUGCUCAUGUGAGUCAUGUCCUUCCAAUUCAAGACAAUUAUAUGCGAAAAAGUUGCCACUGCUAAAACCUAUAAGCAUAUCUCCUCAAAGUUGCCAACCAUGUUUAUACUUGAUAUGAUAUGUGGUGUAUGAACCAAUCCACAUAAACAUACAAUUUCUUAACUCAUCUCAUACUUGAUCUUACAAUGUCAAUGAGAUUUGAUCUUAUAACCUUUACGGUAUUAGUGAUCUUGCUAACCAACAAGCCACUACUUAUAGACAAUCAUAGAUCUGGUUGAACAAUCCUUAACUAUUAUGAGUAUUAUCGUCAAUAUUUAUUAUUAUUAUUAUUUUUUUAUUUUUUUGUAUAAAAGACUCUUGGAAGGUGGCUUGCAAAUGGGCCUGUUUAUUAACAUGCUCCGAGCAGGCUAUGUGAAUGAGCGCAAAGGCCCAUAUUAGAUAACAAUUCAUAUCCUACUUCUUACCCAAUUAGGAAAAGGACAAUAGUUAGUCUAAAGAGGAAAUCUAUAAAUACUUCUUGUUGCUGUUUCUCUGUUCCAUAGUUCUGCAGUGGUUGUUUGUUUGGGAUUUUGGUUCUUGGUGAAUUGAUCGAUCCACGUUCUGAAGUAAGUGAUGGGUUCUGUUUGUUGUUGUGGUCCUAAGAACGAUCCCAAAGAUGAUGAAGAAACUGUGCCUGUGUCAACAAGACCACAUAUAAUGGGGGAAGUCGUCGGAGAACUUGGUUACGUCUACGCUUCGUCGGAAGAGGAUGAAGAUGAAGGAAACGGCCGGAGAAACGAAUUACAGCAAUGGUGGAGCUGGAAUUACUGUAACGGAAAGCCGAACGCCCUGGACGAGAAUCUUCUGGCUAAUUAAGUACCAGAUUAGUUAACCUAAACGUUUGUAAACCAAGUUUAGUAAUUAAUCGUCUGAUAUAGGGUUUACUUACAACAUAGUGGUUCAAUAUCUGUGCGAUUUUUGCAACAACAGAAAAAAAAACCCAUUAUCUCCGGACCUGAAUAGUUUGGUCCGACGAAAUUAGAUCUUCUACUUUUCUUUCACAACUUUGAUGAUUACAUCAGUGAGAUUCUAGUUACGUAUCCUUUCCUUUUGCUAAAAGGAUUAUGUUCGAGUAUGGAAGUAGAGCUCGAGAUAAGAUUUCCACAGUUAAAAAGUAAAAACAGAAGAAACAUCAAGUAAAAAUGUUUUGGAGAAUCCACGAUAUCUUUUAGACCUUUAAUUCCGGAUUUCGGCGUAAAUCCUUACGCAACUCAAGUAAGGAUUCCCAAAACGAUACGAUUUUCGAAUUCAAUUGAUUCUAUGUUCAACCCUUUGUUAUAUCUCUCUUCUCUUCUAUUUUCUUUAAUUUAUUAAUUAAUAAAUAAGCGCCUUCAUUAGCUUCUAUCUCUUAAUUCACUCCUACUCGAUCUUUCUGCUUCUUCCGUUUUCUUUCCCAUCGUUUAAUAUUUCUGGGAUUCUUGGUAGUCAAGAGGAGGCCAUCGCAAUCUGCUCUGGUUUCAAAGUAUGUUUCUUAAAUCUCUAGCUCCACCUAUGUAUUGUGAUUUCAAUUCUUUUCGGAGUCUGGAAGAUUGGAACUCUGGGAUGUAUAUUAGCUUUAAUUUUUGUCUUGAGACUUUUCUUGUUCUAACAGUCAUCAUGCGUAUGAUUAUAUGAUGGUUUAUGUGAGAUUUUGAUCAUUGAUUAAAAUAGAAUGGUUUCCCCCUCUCCCCCUCUCUCUAUCUAUUUUUUCUUCUCCUGUGACGUAACUUUUUUUUUUGGACGAUUCGUGCCGAUUCGUGCAGGGUGUGACUGAAAGUUCAAAUAGAAGCUAGUUGAGGCGAUUUUCUUGAUGGGUUGUUUUUUCUCUUGCUUUGAUGUGAACGAUCCUUUGGAUAACACGCAGAAUGCUAACAAUGCCAAUGAUGGUAACCGGAUCAUCAUCCCUAAUUUGUACAACAAGGUACAUGUUUCAGAAUUUCCAUCACUUUUCAUUCCAUAUAGUCGACUAUAUAUGAGUGUGUGAUAACCCUAACAAGUUUGAUGUUAAGCAGAUUGCGUCCGUUAACGAGGUAGCUCUUGGAAGUAUACAAUGUGAGACUGGCAGGGAUGCUGCCACUGCUACUGCUAUUAUCCGAUCCCUUCCUGGUGAUCCCUUUCUUAUUGAAAAGGAGAUUGGAGGACAACGUUACCUUUACCCUUCGUCGAUAGAAGAGGAAGAAUGCCCUACAUGUCUUGAAGGUGAGUAUUGCUCUUAAAAUCUGUUUAUAGCGAUACAUUUUCACUUUGAUUUGGUUUUCUAGCUAAUUAGAUACGCUGAAUGUAUGCUGAGGCUCCUUGAUUCAAAAUUUCUGCAGAAUAUACACCUGACAAUCCAAAGAUAAAAACAAAGUGUUGUCACCAUUUCCACCUUGCUUGUAUAUAUGAAUGGUUGGAGAGAAAGCAAACUUGUCCAGUUUGCAGCCAGGUAACCAAUUUCUCUAGCUAGCUUAAUACUGUUUAUAACAUGAUAUUUAUAGAACUUCCUUCAAAUUGAUUAAUAUAUGAAUUCUUACACGGCUCAACGCAAAGGCGAAAAUUUAAUCAUGAAAUUGUGGUCUUAUCACAUACUAAAUAGAGAUUUGAAAAGGAUACCAGAGAAGAACAUACAUGGAGAUUUGAAAUUAAUGUACAAAUAGAAUACUGGUGCUGUGAAAACUAGAAAACUAGAACUAUGUAAGGCACACUUCCGGUGAAAGUAUUAGCCAAUGUACUGGGAGAUAAUAGUUGUGGUGUGUUUGUAAUAAAAUAGCUACAAGAGUACUACUUAAUUCGUCCUGAACCUGACCAACUGCAAAUUCUUUUUGUAGGUGAUGUCAUUCAAUGAUCUCUGAGAACACACAACUGCAACAGCUAGCUAGCGAAGUAGAAACAUUCCUAUAUAAACGCAGAAGAGGAUAUUGGUCAAGCAAUCAAAUUAAAUUUCAAGGAUUGAGAGAAGCCUUUUAAAUGAUCUGUAAUGUAUUGUUCCAAUUCUUCAAGAGUGAAGCUGUAAAUGCAAUAAUUCUGGGCUUAAAUUUAUAUUUCAGUGGGAAUCAUACACCAAUUCCAUAUAUAAAUGAUGGCAAUCCCAUUCAAAUUCCACAUCUCGUUAGCGAUUUUGUUUUUCUAGUCUUUCUUUCAUGAUAGUAACUUGGUAACUUGUGUGCAUACUUAUCUUAGAUUUCUUUCCUACUUACCCUUUGACAUUAUUUGCUAAAUUAGACAACUCUAGGUAUACACCUUAUAUAUUAGAAAAGCCCAGACCUCAAUCAGUUUGCUUAAAUAAACAGGAAGACUCUGUCUCACAAAUCUACAAGUACUUUGUUAAAACAAUUUUCUUAAAAUUACUGCACAAUAUACGUAGAAAUUUAUAGGAAAUUUCCAUCAAGUUCACUAAUUAAGAUACAGUGAAUUUUUUUCAAGCCGCAUAAAGUUUGGCAAUAUAUAAUAUUUUGAUAACAUCAAGAGAGCUAGAGAUCGAAGUAGAGAAUUGUAGCAAAACCCAAUAAUCUUCAGUAUAUAUACUGAUCGAUCACAUUGGAUGUCUUAAAUCCACCGCUCACCAAUCAAGCUUACAUUAUACCACAAUAUCUGGUGAAGCACUACUAUAUAGAGCGAGUAUAUAACCUUAACCUUAUGCUACUAGUGCACUUAGGGAUUAAUAUUACUUGGUGAUGAUAUUCAUGAAGCAAAGCAUCCAAGGUGGCAUGAAUACAACGAUGGCUCGAGAGUAAGGUCGAGCUGGUUCCUCCUCACCUGAAGGAACUGAUCAUUUUGCUGAGUGCCCCUGCAUAUAUCAUAAGUUCAUAACCAUAUACCGUAUUAUACUAAGGCCCAAGUAUUUUAUAAUUUAAGUAUGAAGUAUGGUACGUAAUAGGAUCUUACCCCAUGUUCAAACAUGGAAUUGGACCCUGUGCUAGCAGGUUAAGGCCAUGGUUUUGCUGCUGCUGCUCCCAGUCAUGAACCUCCUGAGCUUCCGCUACAUUCUUCUCGUGCUCCUUAAUCUAUAUUAAUAAUGUUGAUUAAUUUAUGAAAGCAGAACCUAAUGAGAAGAAGAGCCGUGCAUUAUCACAUAAAUUAGAAAAGACAUUGCUAGCAUAUAUGAAAAUGACCUUCUUUGAAAGCAAGUUGUUCUGCUCCUUGAUUGCCUUCUCCUGUUACAGUGAGGAACAAAAAGAAAGAAUUUAUGAUGAUCAGAUUUUGAGACUGCAAGUAAAUGGAUACACACAUACAUGUGUACACCUUACAAAUCAAGUAUAAUUGCAUGUCCUCGCCUUUCACAGACCAAUGAACCAAAACUCUACUAUAAUUGACUUGUACGAAUCAAAAUUCUUAACUAGUUACCAAGAAUCUCACACAAAGUGACCAAAAAAAAAAAAGAAUCUCACACAAAGUGACAAAACAAACAAUUGCUUAUUAUAAAGUUUAGUAUGUUAAUAAAUAGUUAGUGUGCAAAAUGGCCAUGGCCGAACCUUCCUCUGUAGCUCAGAGAUCGACUCAUGCAUGAGUUGGUUCUGCAAGAAAUCAAAAUAUAUAUAUUAGCACUAGAUCAAACUAGCUGCAGACUAUCACUAAUCAACCCAGCUAGCAUACUUUUUAUCAAAAAAAAAAACCAGCUAGCAUACUUUUCUUGAUCGAAUUUGCUUAAGAGCAGUUUCAAGCUGUUGCUCCAAACUUUGGAUCUCUUUGAUACUCAAUGAAUCCAGAUCUUCUCCCAAAUAGUGCCUGCAGUUUGAUUGGUUUAAGCAAAGAAUCAAGAUGAAUCAAUCAAUUCAGGACAGAAUCAUUCUGGGGCAAGUUAUUACGAGAGUAGUGAAGCAGCCAUCUAUAUAUACCUUAGGUUUCUCUGCAGAAGCUCAACUUUCACCUUCAGCCUAGCAUGUUCGAAGGGCCAGUUACCCUGCAUUAAGUACCAAGUGACCUAAUUGAUCAGUAUAUAUAUAUAAUAUAUGAAGAACCACAGUCAAGUGACGGGAAAAUGGAAAGUACCUGUGAAUCAAAAUCAGGUUCCACUAGCUGUCUCUCUGCAUAUGAGUACCUCUCAUAGCGUUCAAGUAUAUCCUCCAUGCUGCACAGCCAAAACGGAGCUUGACCAAUAUAUCUAACAUGAUGCACUUAACUUAUAUAUGCAACCAAGAGAGCUAAAUCUUCAAGGGUCUAUCUGUACUUAACCGUAUUAAGGAUAGGAGGAGUUUCUCAAGAGUUUCAUGAAAGCAUACAUCAGAUUGUUGUAUGAAUUAAACCAUUAAAGGCUUUAUGCUAAGGCAUUUUACAAUUUUUACUAAUUCCAUCAAACAAAAAAUUACAUCUUACUGGCCCCCAUUAGGAUAUUACUGAUAGUUUAAUCACAUACUAUUUCUAUAUAUAUAUAUAUAUAUAUAUAUGCACAGUUUCUUGAGAGAUAUUUGAGCUUUACUUGUUUGAAACUAAAUAAUUAACUAAAUAAUGCAAACAAUGAGACUUCUUGUGUCUUUACUACUUGUUUGAGAAAACAUUGCAUGAUGCCCUAGCUACAAAAUUACAUGUUUCGAGUUGGACUAACAAUGGAAGAAAUUAAGUACUGAAAGAGCUGGUAUAUAUACUAGCGUUGCAUACUUUUUAUUCUUUAGAUUUUGCUUAUUUAAACUCAGAAAAACGUUACAAAAAUAUUACAGAUAUCAGUAAAUUACAGAGCUUUAGAUUUGUACACCAAAAAGUCCAGGAAUUCAGAUUGCAUCAUUUUUUUUUAACUUUUGACUGUGUUGUCCUCUCUUCUUUUAAAGACAUGUGUGAUAAUGGAAUAUUCCAUCCAGGUUUUCUACACCUCUUCCGCACUUCUUCAUUAAUCCUUCAUAAUAUUUUCUGUGUUGCUAGAAAAAAAAUUCAGUUUCUUUUUCUUAAUUUGCAUAUUAUAAAAUCAGAACAGUUUGAAAUCAGCUCUGGAAUCAAGUCAUCAACUCCAGAGUUAAGUUUAUAAAGAUGUAAAUUAGUAGAUUUUUCACAGGAUGCUGCACAUCAACCCAAACCCAGGUCAUCUAUGCUUAAGUAUCCCCAAAAGCAGAUGAAGUACUGAUAAAUCUCACAUAAAGAUUUUUCAUCUAGGUCAUUAAGCUCUACUUUAUAUCAAAUCAAGCACUCUUAACCAUUAGAUCGAUCCCAGCUAGCUUGCAUCCACUUGAUUAAUUAGCUGCUUUAAUAAGAACUUGGUCUUAAUGUUUUCUUUGUUGAACAAUAAGAAGUUCUUAUUAUUAAGCACCAAAAUAUUUGCAUAAUAUUAAUAUUAAUCUCUAAGCUUGGAUUUAAAAAGACAGAUAAGAAAAAUAUAACAAAGGAGCAGAAGGAGGAGAAGAUGAAGAAGAAGAAGGAGGAGGAGGAGGAGGAGAAGAAGAAGAAGAAGAAGAAGAAGAUCGAGGGUGGCUAGCUAGGUUAUGAGAGAGAUGAGUAGUACCAUGAAUCAGUUGCGUAUUCAAAGAGCUUCCCUUUGUUAGAGAAGACAAUCAAAGCAACCUGAGCAUCGCACAUGACAGAGAUCUCAUGCGCCUUCUUCAGCAACCCAGUUCUUCGUUUCGAAAACGUCACCUGCCUGUUGAUCUUGUUCUCUAUCCUCUUCAGCUGAACCCUACCCCUUCCCAUAUUGAUGAUAAAUAUUUCUACCUGAAUCAAUGACUACUUUCCUUUUCUAUUUCGAUCUUUCAGAUAAACACCCAAACAAGGUAAAGCCCCCAAAAAAAGAAAGACAACCUGAAACUAGAGAGGAAAAUUUAAUGGGUUGUUUCUUCUUCUAGCUUAGCCAUAUCUGAGAGGUUUGUCUGAGGAAAAAAAGUAAUGUGCAUAGUGUAUAUAUGGAAAAGGAAAAUAGGGGAAUUUAGGAUUUUAUUUAUUUAUUGGAAGCUUAAAAGCGGUUUUAAGAGGGUAGGGGUGGUUUUUGUGGAAAAUAAAAAAACCGGUGUGGCUUUAAGGAUGCGCUGUCCACUCCCCAUCGGAUAGUAGUACUAUGUGGUCGCUUCCCUGCGAAAUUGACAACUCGCACAUCAGUUCUGUGUAUGUUAUUGCUUUGGUUAACUAAGUACAGUAAAAGUAAUUAUUACAGCAAGGCCAUAUUUGGGACUUGGAAGGAUUUAAGUACUGAUCUAUCUGAUUAGUUAAUUUGUUGUUCAUCUUAUACUAUUGCAUUUGCAUGUUAGGAGAUGGGUCAUUUGUACUACGGGUGCAUGUCUGUUUUUGGUGAUGUUGAUUUAUCUGUUAAGAUAUUUAUUUUUCAUUAACCGACAAACUUUUACAUUAAACUAUCGUGUUCGACUUUAAAAAAAAUAAAUAUAAAAUAAAAAAAAUAAAAAAAUUAUAGUGUUCAAUACCACCGAAUGAAUUAACAUUUUACUAAGAAAUUAAAAUUUACACUCGUUUUACAAUUCACACUUGUGAUUUCUGUUGUAGUAAGUUUAAUUUUAUCUUUAGUAACAUGUGUACGUUUUAUCUAUUUAUAAAAGUCUUAACCAAUAAAAAGAAAGAAAAAUGUAUGUAGACCGGAAAAUUAAGUGUGCGGAUUUCAGUUUCCUGGCAAAAUAUUUGUAUAUUGUGCUUAUUAUUGUUUUUGUUAUGUGAUCCGGGUUUUUUCCUUUUUUUUAUCAAGUAAAUAACUUAAAUAUUACAACUUCGUGAGUCGAACUCAUAAUCUCUUACAUACUAAGGGGAGACUAUACCGUUAAACCAAAUAAUAUUGGACGAGGUUUUUUCCCCUUGUGUUGAAGGAAAUAAUCAUUUUCAUUUUUCAAUAUAUUCAUUGAAUAACUCCUAAGAAAAGUCAUGUGGAAGUAUUGAAUUGCCUUCCAAGCAGGUGUGGGGGUCUGUGGGAUAUAUGCAAUUUUAGUGAUUCAUGUCCCUAGUCCAUGUAUGGUAACCCUAUAAAUUAAACAGUAAACAUCGUAUAUGUCCGACCUACCGACAAUAUAUAAGGGAUUGGCCUACGUCUUGAACCCUCCAACCCAAAUUUAGAAAUCCAGCUACUUAAUUCACAAAACCUUAUCUCUUUAAUUAGGAAUUCUUGUCCCCAAGGUUAUGUAGCCACUCAAAUAUAACCAAGAACAUGCAUGAUGUGCGUCAAUAAUGUCUCAUAGUACAGGAGUUGGAUACCUUAUUUGUAUAUGAAUUGAAUUCUUUCCUAUGAUUUGGUUAUGUAUAUAUGAGAAUUAGUUUAUUUCUUUUUCGAAAUCUGAAAAGAUGAUGUCUUUGUUAUCUUGGCAUAAAUUGACAUUUCUCAGUGAAAAGAAGGAGGAGAUCGAGUAUCAUAUUGGGUAUUCAAUUGAACACCACCACCACUAUAGUUCACUAUCGACCAUAUUAGACAGCUCAAAGACUUCAAAGCAUCCAUGCAUUAUGAUUUAUGAGACAAAUCCGCAACGAGUCUAGGUUGAGACUGCUACAUUGUUCGAGUGAUCACGAUUGUAGCUGUGAUUAAAUCCAGAUAGAACACAAAUACAAACGGAGAUCGAGUAGUUUGAUCAUUCUUGAUUAUGAAACCGCAUAAUUAAGAUUUAUAGUUACCCUAUCGAUCUGCAGUGUUUAGUUGUUGCAUUGUAAACGCUCAAAGAAACCUUGAGCUGAUUGAGCAGUAGAUGGGUGGCCAUUUGGUAUACUUGGCUGAUUUGCUUUUAUUGAACCUCGUUGAAGACCUUCAUUACUCUCUUCCAACUGUGACCAACAUGAAGCAGAUUCAGAAUUAAAAUACAUUAAUAAAUCUACAUUCAAGUACAAGGUUCUGGCCAUAUAGAUAUAAAUAUAUACCUUCAUUCUCAAUUCAUCGUUUGCUUCCAGCAGCAGCUUUUCCUGCAGAUGAAAUUCUUGAAAGACUUACAUAGGUAACAUAACAGUCACACCUAGAUUCAUAUAUCGACCAAUGAUAACGUACAUAUUAAAGUAAUGUUAGGUGAAUUACUAAUUUCGAUCCCACCUAAAUUCUACCUUAUGUGACAAACAUCAAUGAAUGAAAUACUUUGAUAUGGUGAAUUGGUGAUUACAUUUUCUGCCACAUAUACAUGAAAUCGAGUUUUAUUAAUAUGGUUCAUCUAGUAUUAUGCAAAAGGUUAAGAUCAAUAUAUAUACCUUCUUUUGAAGAUCGGAAAGCUGUUCAAGUAUAUUUUGGCUCUGCAAUCAAAUAAGGGUAAUUAACUUGGAUAAAGUAUUUAUGUAGCUAGAUAUAGUGUCUUAGAAUGAUAUAUGGUUUCCAAGUAGCCAAACCAAAAACUUCGUUUUUGACGAUAACAACCACAAGGGCAGAAGAUAUACAAUCAACCUGGUUAACAAUUGAAACUCCAAACUCCCCAAUCGGUGGAAGAAUUCAGAUAUAUUCCACAAAAGUAAAUAAAUCAAUAUAAGCUACAGAUAUGAAAUUACCCCCGGUCACUUAGAAACUGAUGAAAUCCUUAAACAAUACGAUGCAAAGCUUAAAUGGCUUCACAAAAAUAACUGUUAUAUGCAACUAGAUUAGCCAUCCACAACUACUAUAUCCCGUAGUUAGGAAACAAAAGUGGAUACCUGUCUUGACCUAACUCGCUUCAACGACAAAUCUAGUUCAUUCUCAAGCUGCUGAAGCUCCUCUAUGUCUAAAUGUUCCAAAUUUUCCCCAUCAAGACGUCUAAGAACACGAAGUGAAAAUCCACAUAUAAGUAUUCAUUCCCAGUGAUUUUUCAUGUGAUCUAUCACUUAGGUACAUAUCAAUAAGGUGCAUAAUUAUGUGAAGAGUGUUCUAGUUUCAAAUUCUGUUGACAGAAUGCAUGUAUACAUGAGUCCUGGCUACAUCUAGAGUUCAAAUCUAUGAUCACUUUGGUAUCUUAAUCGAACUACCUCUGCGUGCGUUGUAGGACCUCUACUUUCGCUUUUAGGUUCUCAUAUUCUUCGUAUCUGCUCUGCUAGAUAACAUGAAAGCAGUUCUAUCAACAAUCAACAAGAGCAUAAAUAGGACUUGGUGUGUGGAGGAAAAUUUCAUUACCAACAUACAGCUAACAGAGAUAGCUAGAGAGGUUUUGUAUUUGUUAAGUAAGAAGAAGAUUUGGAAAAUAGGCAAGUGCUAAUUCGUAUAACCUAGCUAGCUAAUUAACCUGUGUAUCCUGAGCAGGUUGAGCAGCUUCCAGUUCUGCAUAAGUGUAUCUUUGAUAUUUCUCAAUUGUCUUCUCCAUGCUGAUAAUGAAAUUGGACAGAAAAUUAAACCACCAACAAUUGCAAUUAGAAUGAGGGCAUGCAGGAAAGUAAAUUAAUUAAGGAACAAACGGGUUGUUCAAAUUAGGUUAAUAAUCCGUAAAGUUGACAUCCUUGUGCUUUGUUGUAAACCACCAACAAAUGCCCUCAUUCAAAUAAUUAAAUAUGAUUAUAGUCAUAGUGAUCUAACAAAGAAAUAAUGUUGGCAUUCUCUCAUUGUUCACUUACAAAUGAUGGAUACUAGUAAAUAAAUCAUGGGAGGUCAAUUUAAUUUACACAUAAUUAGUUCGUGUAUAACAAAUUAAAAGCUACUAAUUUUGAUCAAGUUCUAAAUUCAAAUCCAAAAUUAACUAGAUUUGCAACAAGGAUUACUCGAUCUACACCCAAUUAAGUUAAACCACACUAGUUACCCCAUAUAUCAAAGAGGAUGUACAGUAAAUCAUUUGUAACAUAUGAUUUGAACGCUUGCAAGUGCCAUGCCAGUAUACAAAAAAGUACCUGAAUAGCCUGACAACCCUCACAAGUCACAAGUCACAACAGAAGUACUAUAGCUAACUGUAUAUAGAUACUUGUUUUUGCAGUAAGUUAGCAAGCUAGGAGUCAAAAACUUGCAUAUAUAUAAUUAUAUAUGAUGAGUUUAUUUAUUUUACUAAUUAUAUUUCUAGUUUUCUACAUGGGUGUGUAGUAUAUAUGUAUCUACCACUGGACUGAUCUCACAUCAGGUCAAAAGAAAAGAGAGAUUAACGUAGCUCCUUCAGAAGAAAUGAUCAUAAUUAAGCUUAAUGUAUAGGGUGACCAAAUCGAUCAAAAUCCAUUUCCCUAAACAAAUGUGCUGAAUUUCUUCUUGGGUACAGCAACUGAGCAAAGGAAAUUGAAACUCCUCACCUAUGACUCAUAGUAGGCUCAUACAUAUAUUUCUCAUGUAAAAUGAAAAAUGAAAAACCCAUCUCCAAAAUCAAAAGCAAACGAUCGAUUUCCCUAUUACAAUAAUAGACCACCCUUAAUCCUGAAGAGCUAGCAAGAUUAAUAUUAAUCCUCAGAUGUAAGUAUGUACUUAUAUAGAUUAAACUAUUAGGGGGGAGGACAGCAGAUCGAUGUGAAGCUGUAAAUACUGGUACCUGGGGCCGCUGCAGAACUCAUAGAGCUUGCCACGGCUGGAGAAGAUGAUGAGAGCAACCUCUGCAUCACAGAGAAUGGAGAGCUCACACGCCUUCUUCAGCAACCCGUUCCUUCUCUUGGCAAAUGUUACUUGCCGAUUUAUCUUGUUCUCGAUCCUCUUCAGCUCCACCUUCCCUCUUCCCAUUUCGACGAUGAUCAACAGCUACUGCUUUAGCUAGCUUCUAAUAUUUUAUUAUCUAUAAUAUACUAUUUGACAUGGUACUAGGUUUUAGUUUUCGCUUAAUAUAUUCUUCUUCUCUGAGGGUUAAGAUAAUAAAGAGCAGAAUAAGACGUUAGAAUUAUACGUACGUACGGUCUUCACCGGAAAAUCUACGGUCUUAUGCUGGGCACGUUAUCAACAAUUUACAAUAUCUGACGAUUCUAAACUCUGAAAGCGUAUUAUACAGGUCCAUCAUACAGCUCCCGGCCAGUUUUCUCUUCCGGUUCAAUACUGACGAAGAUUGGUCACUUUUGUCUCUCCUUUUCAGUCUCUUUAUUAAAACGAGAAUCAUUAUUGUCUGCAGCUGCUUAUUACUACAAAUAUGACAGCUAGCGGUGUCAACUCCGACUGCACAUUCCCAGCUUUAGGGUUUUUACGUGUCGAUCAGACAUAGCAUUGGGGAAGCUCGGGACCUUGGUGCAUGUACUUUUGUGUAUCCAGACGAUUUUGCCCCUGCGUUUACAGUUCAAGCACGCCUGCAGACUGCAGUUCAACAAUUGUUCCCCUUACAAAAGAGAGUAGAAGCAUAUAUGCUUUUCCAAUCUUUUAGUUGGUUGUGUUUCUUUUGGUGGGUACGUGUUGAGUCUUGGCGAGAAUGAGGAGGAUAAUAUCCUGGACGAAAUUGGUGAAUAAAUCUCGUUGCUCCGGUGAGUAAACGUACGAUUUUACCUUAGGUAAACCAUGUAGGACAAAUCAAUGUUGUUGUAUAGUAGUGCAGUGAAAAACAAUGGGAUAGACCAUCAAUGUGGUACUAAUUUAAUUACUUGUCCUCGAUCGACGAUGUGGGUUUCAUCCUAAAAACCUCCAUGUAAGAAACAGGGUAUCUGUUUAUAGUCCUAUAUUGCAACUAAUGGGAUCUCCAAUUAUCAAAUGGAAACUGAGACGGAGUUUACGUACCCUGCUGCUUCUGGAAAAGUAGGCAAUGAUCAUUCACAUCCCAACUUCGUAGUAGUACACACUAGUAUGUAUACCUCUACGCAUAUACGUAUAAGUAUGGCAGUGUGUACGGACUUGUUAGGGUCGGGUAUUUGACCGCCGGUAAUACGCUUGUGAUGUGAUUGGUUGAUAGGUAAAGAAGCUUGCGUGUUGACGAGUCAAGACGCGAUUGAGGAGGAUACGCUGGCUACGUGUCGAUUGCUAACCGCUUCGAACAGUGGCUCGUUAUGAUUGGGCCUAGGCCCAAAACAAAAGCCCGAAAAUUGAAAGGUUUUCGUUCUUCUUGCCCUACUUCCUCUCAUGCAUAAUUGACGCAUGAUAUGGAGUUAUGGUCUUAUGGACGAUUCGAUCUUUUUUCUUUCAUUUUGGGAGCAAAUUUUAUGAGCCAUGUUAACCUCAAUGAUGAGAUUGAUCAGGUUAGUGUUCUUGUGUUUUUUUUUUUUUUUUAAUGUUUCUGGUUGGGCGUUUUCACCUAGUUAGAAUGUGCAACAAAGCCGCUCCAUCAUAAUGUGUAGUGGCGGAGCUACUUGAAGACCGAAGGGAGACAAUUCAAUUUACUCGCAUGUUUAGUCGAUAAUUGACGGAUGUGAUGUGCUAAUUUUAACAUCAAAAGGAUGAGGUUUUGAAAAUUAUUGCAAUGUCUAUAUAUGAAGAAGAUGUGUUAUCGUUUUCACGGAAACACAUGAGGACCCAAAACAAGGAGGAGACCAGAGUUGUGUUCUCUUUUGGAACAUCUUUUGGAACAACACUGGAGCGAGCAAUGACUUCCAUGCAGCUUGAAAAAACAGGAAUGCGAUAUAUAGCUACCAAAGAAUUUUCUGUGAUAGCUAAAGGAUCGAGCACUAUAAGUGUAGCUAAUAUAGCCACGUCUAAUGUAGCCACUACAAAUACUUUGAUUGGUUCGAUUCCAGACAAAGAAUGAGAGAACUCAAAAGAUAAAUGUUCCCAAUUUCUCAUUGAUCAUAUUAUAAGAUAAAUGUUCAUUCCUCUGCAGUAGGAUUCAAGUUGUUAUUAUUAGGAUUGGAAAAAAUGCAUGCAUGUAUAUCCACUCUUAUCUUAUCUAGAUCGCAUUUUUGCUUCUCUUUAGCGGAGAAUAUAUAGCUGGUAAGCUAGCCCAGAGAUCAUUGAUUGAGAACACAUACUCCCUACCCAGAUUUAUACUCGAGGACUGAGGAUAUUGCUUGCCAGCAAUUUGGUACACUCAUUUAGAUCGACAUUGUGGCCUAUAUAUAUAUUGGGUGAGAGUUGAGACUUGGCUAGGGGACAUCUUAGAGGUCCUGGUCCAUACUGUCUUUGCAAUCACAAAAGAAGUUGGGGCCGUUGUUCCCCCAGUCUCAUAGGCUGAGCCGCGGAGGGGGUUAUCUUCAUAUUCUUAACAUCGAGAGCCUACACAGAAUUAGGGUUCUUCAAUUUGGUGCAUGCAUAUACUUAACACAGUUCACAUCUACUGUUGAUCUUAUUGUAUGUUGUACCAAUAAAUUUCCAACCAAUUAAUCCGAUUUAUUGUCACCGAUCAAUAAUGAAGAGAUCAUCAAAGGAUUCAUGAAUCCGACCAUCGAAGAUGAUUAUGAUCGAUCGAAUGGAGCCGGAGGCAUCAGUACGUUGUUAAUUAACAAAACUGAACACAAUAUCGAUCGAAUUUGUUUACAGAAACACUUACAAAGAGAAUCUGUAGGACCAAUUACAUAUUAAUCAUUAUCGAAGGUUUAUCAUUAAGAUAGAGGAAAUAUCUGAUGAUGCGACUAACGUUCACCAUUCGACAAUCCCAGAUCGGCAGAAGUUUAUAUACAUGCAUUAGCUAGAUCGGAAAGACAUGGACGAAAUUAACAAAAUAGUUGUACUGAAAAGGGCAAGUGGAGAGAUGGGACUGAUGGGAAAACGAAGACCAUGGAAGGUAACUUUAGGAAUGCAUGGUGCACAACGAAAGAAAGCUACUGAACAUGUUGAAGAUAAAUCUAACAUGAUUGUACAGGAUUAGCUAAGAGACUAAAUAUGCAGACGCAGCAAUCCUUUGGCAAAAUGUGAGUGAGUGGCGACAAGCAUAUAGGCAUGUUUAUCGUUUCAGACAUUUGAUGCAGCACCUUUGGAUCGUAAGUAGUGGACCUUAGAUAUGGGGCAGUAUAUGGAUUCAAGUUCGAUCAUCCGGAAAUUAAAUUGUCUGUGAUUUUGAUCCUUGUUGGCCUAAUUAACUAGGGCUUGUUUUGGCAAAUAAUGAUUGAUAUAUAGCUAGGGAAUGAUUAAUAGCUGCAUCAAGGUGAUGAACCUACGUCCAACAAGAUAAGAAAGAACAAGCUAGAGGAGUUCAUUAUCCUUUUGAUUCAUUGGGGUAAUGAUUUAUAGCCAUUGCCUUAUACUUUUGCGACCAUUGGUUUUAAUAGGGUAAACACCCUCGGGCAAGUUCUGUCAUGGUGCCUAUCAGAUAAUGCUCCUUUUUUCUUCCUUCUGGCUAAUACAUGCAUAUUAUUGAACUGAGUCUUGUUACAUGGAUAAUUAAACAAGCGUUCAUUACUAACGAAGAACUAAUAUCGCCUUUUCCUAAUUCAUUUCGGCUUAAACCAACGGCAAACCGCAAACCAUUGCCCUAUUUCUGCUACACAUCAAGAUCAUCUUAGGAAUGUUGAAAAUCUUCUUCGGUAAUGAAUAAAUCGCAGUUGGUCGUAAAUGAUGGAUACUGACAUCAUGCUCAUGAACAGUCUAAGCCUUCAACAUACGAGUGUUCACAACCAAACGCACGUACGUACUGCUGGGUACCCCCAAACAGGCAAACAUCAAGGAAUGGGGGAUUGCCGUUGUGCGGUGUUUUUAUGGGCCAAGUCAUAGACUAAAACCGAAGGAGUUCAAAAGGAGAAAAAGAAAAAUAUAUGAAAGCUGCUCAUGUCUAGCUCUUUACGUAUCAAAAGGCUACUCCACAAUCCUACUUUUCUCAUUUGUGGGACUUUGACAAUAGAUUACACGCCACAAUGCAUUUUCCUUGUGUUUUUGCUUAUUUGCUUUAGUUUCUUUGGAUUAAUUGUAGACUUCAACGUAAUUAGAGUAGUCUCCGGACUUCUCUAAGCUUGACCUAGUAUGGUCGUUUUGAUUAAUAUCAAUGGAGUAAUUCCGUUAAACGUCAUACCAAAAAAAAAAAAAACAACACUUGUUCGUGUUCUAAUGUCGUACGAUGAACACAUUUUCCAAGUGCAUGAAACAGGUUUAGGAGUCUUUAUCAUUAUGAUGCAACUAAGUUAUUUCUGAGUUCUGCACUAUGACAUAUAUGCAACAAAGCCCUUGACUCUUUAGAGCUUUGAUCGUGACAGUUCAGUUCAUUCAUAUAUCGAAUCUGAUCACUAAGCUUGCUGUAUAUGAUGUCGACUUGUAGCAUGCAGUAAAACCAUAUAUCCUCUAAUCUGAUCAUCCUAUUUGUGGUUGAUCCUUGAGAUAAAAGUAAAAUUCCCUCCCAAAAGGAGGAGGCAUGGCAGAUAUUACUGGGCCAUAUCCAAUCCAAGCAAGCCAGUCAGAAAUCACUUGGCUAGAAUAUACCUUUCAUUUUAGGUUUUCAAAUUUAUUUUUUAUUGAGGAGUGACUUCAAAGUUUAUUUAGGUGGGAUAGCAUCCAACAAAUGCAUCCAACAAAUUAUCCAGAUCCAUGAUGAUAUCUCGUGGUAAAAGUCAGCAAGCAGUACAUGCCCACAGCCCCAUAGCCAGCACCCCACUUGAGAUAGCUGAUUCCCACCUUCAAUUAAUUCUUCAAGCACUAGAAGCCCUAGAAUCCAAGGCAUCACAGCUCCUUUCUCUUCCCCACCACCAUUUUCAUCUCAAUCAACCUCUACCUAGCUCUGGUGUAAUUUCACAUUUAGUUUGGCAAGAUAUAACUAACUAACUGUGAAGGAUUUGUAUAUAUAGAUACAGCUUAUGUGUAUAUCCAUAAAGCCAUAAAGCUUUGUUUCCCUUGUAGUAUCAGUAGCACCCCACUCAUCUUUUCUAUCACUAGUAAAGCACAUAUAUCCACAUCAAAGUAAAUUGUGACUCUUCCAUGGCAAAAAACCUUCAUGAUAUUUGAUUAUUUUAAAGCAAAGUUCCCACUACUCACAAUCAUUUCAAAGUUCAAACCCAUCAAUCUCUCCACAAUCUCACAAAACCCUCCUUUUAUGCUCUAUCCAUCUCUCCCAUAAAAACCCUUCAUCCCCAGUGAGACAUUUACUUCAUUUCAAGGUCAUUGUUGAAGCAUGUCAUCUAUUGCAGGAGUUGCAGACCCAGCUGAGAAAGCACACAAGAAAUCCUUCCACCGGAGGAACGACUCAGGCGAGCUGGACGUGUUCGAAGCAGCACGGUACUUCUCCGGCUACAACGAAGCUGCUGCUCCGACGAUGAUGAAAGAAGAUAGAUCGUCAUGGAGAGGAGGCAGAAUUAGUCUUGAUAUGCCAAUCCGAAACGUGUUGGAUCAUCAGCUUCUUCAUCAUCAUCAUCACCAUGCGGUGGAUCAGAAACAGAAUAUGAAAGAAAAGAUCAAGUACAAGCAGCCGAGCUCUCCAGGUGGGAGACUAGCUAGCUUCUUGAAUUCGCUUUUCAACCAAUCUAGCUCCAAGAAGAAGAAACCAAAAUCCUCGCAGUCUAUGAAAGAUGAGGAGGAGAGUCCAGGUGGAAGGAGAAGAAGAAGAAGCAGCAUUAGCCAUUUCCGAAGCGCGAGCAGUACUACUACUACUACUACUGAUGCCAAGUCCAUAUACUCAUCUUCAAGCUCUGGCUUCAGAACACCUCCUCCUUACAGUGCACAAAUCGCAACCGCCAAGAGCCACAAAGAUUGGAAAAUAAGUCACUCAGAUCACAAGCCAGUGGUGUCCAAUUUGUCCAAACAUGAUGUUAUGUCACAUGCAAAAUCUUCAGUCUCGGAUGAGAAAGUUUCAUCAAACAGAGAGUUAAACUGGUUGGACGAGAAGUUAAAAUACAAUAACCGGCUGUCGUUGUCAGAAAAAUACAAGAGUUCAACAGAUCAGGAUCACAACAAAGGAUUGUUGAAGAGGCUGAGUGAGGUGGUUGAUGUUGAUGAUGACGAUGGUGCAGAAAGUGAUUCGAGCUCCGAUCUUUUCGAGUUGCAGAACUAUGACUUGGGAGGAUACUACUCGAGCGGUUUGCCUGUGUAUGAAACUACCAACGUGGAUAGCAUCAAGAAUAUCAGAGGAACCCCGAUUGCAAAUGCCUCAUAGUAACAUAUAUUUUUAGUACUGUGUAUUAUUUCAUUUUUAUGGGAGAUGAUCAUAUAAAUUUAUGUUAGAUGCAUGCAUGGAUGUGGUCGACAUGGAAGUGAAUUUUGCUUCUUUUUUCUCUUUCUCUUUCAUCUUCUAGGAAAGUUCUAGCGGUGCUUUUCUCUGUAUAUACAGUUGGGAAUGUUUGUUUGUCUUUUGUUUUUGUUUUUACUAGUAGUUAGUUUGGAGCUAUAUAAUCAGGAUUUCCAGUACUAGAACACCAGUUUGGUGGAUUGGCUUGAUUGAUAGGCAUGAAUUCCCUUGGUAUGAUCCCUGAAACUUGCACUGAAUUAUACUUUUUCUGGAGAAGUAUGGCAUGCACGAUCAUCAUAUCAUAUCAUGUGACCUGCAAUGUGUUUUACUUUUCCGAUCAUGAGUUUGGACAUAAUCAUGUCGAUCAAUUUUUCCAUUAAACAUGUGUGUUUAUCGUAAACUUCAUUUCUUGGAAUUUCAUCUACCAUCAUGUAUUAGAGUGAUAUUCCUUUGCAAUGUGUGUUCUUUUUUCAUUUCUUUUGAAAUAAAGGGGGGGGGGGUAGCUAGAGAGCAGUUGUGCUCUUCUAUCUUCAUUUUCAUCGGAAAAAAUAAAUAAAAAUCUCCUUAUCUGUAAUUAUAAAAGACAGGUUGUCGGUGAGCUGUGACUUGGUUAGUUAAGGUGUUUAACUGAUAAUUUUGAGGUCACGAGUUCAAACUUCACUGACAUAUGUAGGGUGUGUGAGUUAUUAAUAAAAUAUUUAAAAAAAAAAACAGAAUUAAAAGAAAGGCCAAAAAUGGUUCUUAGUUCUUACCAUCCUUAAUUCUUUUAUGUGAUAGUGUCGGCACAAUUCCAAUAAUCAAAUUCGGCCAUCUUGGAAACAAUGGUCUGCUACUCUGCUUGUUGAUCUGCACAAUGCCAAAAUCUUAAAAUUAAUCAAUUAAAAACAAAACCGAAAUUUAGUUGACGUAGUUAAAAGAAGCUCAACUAUUGUUCUGGUCACUAAGUACAUUGCGUGGUAGCUCAAAAGAGCAAAAGUUCGAUCACAAAUGAGUGAAGCUUUCUGCAAUUGGCUAAUGUUUUGCCGAUAUAAUCUUUGUAGAGAAAACGGUUCAAUCACAUAAAUCCAAAUGAGUGAAGCUAAGUAGGGUUUCUUAUUCGGGUCUCCACUCUAGAUCUGCCAUAUACAUAUAACAUAAAAUAGGUUAUGGCUUCUGUAGUGGGGAGCAGACAGGUAAGUGUUUAUAGUGGGGUGUACAAAUAUAUGCAAGGGAUUUAUAUUCCUUUUGGUCUGAAUAUGCAGGGGAUGCAUGACAUGGUAAUCUGCUUUGGUUCCAUAUGAUGCAUGGGAAAAGCAUAAAAGUUUAAGCUCCCAACCUCAAAAUAGUUAAGCCAUUGAUCAUGAUAUUAAACAUAAACUCUGUACGUCUAAUCAAAACGAUCUAGAACAAAAAGGUGAUCCAGCAUUAUUCCAGUACUUUGAUUACUAUUAGAAACAAUCUCUCUAGAUUCUACACAAAGCCAAACUAAUCAGUUACUCUUGGCAAAUUGAGCACAUAGAUGGUAGCCUGAUAUGACAAACUAGCAACUUGAUCUCCUAACUCUGGAAACCAUGAAUCAAGACUAUUCGGGCCAGCAACAAAAAAAAGGUAGUUUCCCUGUAUUCUUUUGGGAAUGAUGCAAACCAUCCACAAAAUUGAAAGCCCCAAAUGGCAAAAAUUGUUCACAAACAUGUAAGCUCAGCCAUAGAGGUGGUGAAAAUGAUAUCAAGUUAGGUGAGCUAUCCUUGUCGCUAUUGGAAUGACUGGUUUCUAUCAUCAAUCUUACACUAGGAACAAACUGGUGUGGUCUGAAAAUUGGCCUCUAACAGACUCAAUUGAUUGAUGUGGCUGCAGUUCCUAACACAAGGAAUUGAACCACACCAAAUUGCCACUUCUGAAAGCUGCAUCAGUUACUUGUAUGUAUGAGACGCUGCUACGCAUACAGAAAAAGGAAGUAUACAACUAGGACUGGAAUGUCAACAAUCAUGAAUCGUGAUCCUUUUGGUUUUGGAUAUCCUAUUGAAACUGAGCAAUGAUGCAAACAAACACAGGAAUGGAUUUAAGUUCUGUAACUACCAAUAUUGGUGGUAUUGGGGGUCCAAGUUAACUUAUCACUAAUCGAUGUUGAUGAUAUUGAUUACUAAGGUUUAACCCCACACGUCCUGAAACUGUAACUCAAAGAGAAAGAAAUGACCUGCUUUUCUCUGUGCAAAACAUAUAUGAUCUCCUAUUCUCCUUCCUUUUAUAAAAAGUAUCUGCAAAGUGAGAUCACUAGCUCCCGUUAACCCUCUUUUCACUAUAAUGGCACUAUCCCAAUUAUCAAAUCCACCCUGGUUCAACCUGUUCAACAUAUCACAUGAUUCACAUCUGAUAAAGCUAUCCCAUCACAUUUACUAGUCCCUUUGCUACUUGUGCUUCUAACAAAAUGGAGACUCUACUUAGGUAACUAACUACGUAUAGAUAGAUAAGCAUUCUCCCUUCGCGGGUAAGUUGGCGAUGAGUGUAACUUUGAUACAAUGUUAGACAAUGAAUCAGUAAGGAGCUAGCAUUAUUGUAUGUCAACUUGUCAAGCUAUUUCAACAUAAAGCAAACUAGGUAGUACUUCUUAAUUAUUCAGCCGCAAGAAAACCAAGCACAGAACCAGACUAAUGAAAAUGGGCAGGAACAACGUAUGCACACCCGAUCAAGCAUAACACCAACCAUUAUCUCUGUCAAAUAAACCCUAACACCAACUAAAAAAAUCUCGAGUGGAAAGAUGAAUGUGCAUAUAUACCUUUAGGAGUUCUCGAUCAACUUUGUGUUCAUCUGCCAUAACUUCUGGUAAACGAAAGCAGAGACAACAACCUUCUUUGAUUUAUUCCAACAUGUGGGAGGUCCUAGCUCUAUGGUUCCCAUCGCACCAGAGCCAACCAUCUAUGUCUUUGAUCUAAAUGUAACCACAUUUUUGAACCAGAUCAUAAGGAUCAAACAAGUUUUAUAGUUGAUCCACAUUUGGGGAACAAGAGCAGGAAUCUGACCCCCUCCCACUCCCAGGGGUGAAACUUAUUGUGAUCGACUUGUGACUCGGACAUGGCAACUGCAAAUUAAAAUUCAUAAUCAGGUAUGAUAUUAUGAUCAAUGAAAACCAAGUAUAACCGGAAUAUGAAUCAGUAACACACUCAUUGGGAGAGGAUUUAAAAGAAGGAUUCAUGUAGUGAUAGAGACUUGAAAUUAAAUAAACAUGGUCAGGUUAGAACUUAGAAAUAAGAUCAAACACCUGGGAUAGUAACUACUGGGUCAUCAAUAGUUCAAUACAACAGGCGCAUCAAAUAAACAACAUAAGCAAAUUGGGUUAAUGGGUUUUUACCUGACUAGAUACUGAUCAGUAAUUAAACCACCAUUUUGAUGAGUGAAUUUCAACACCAAACUCAUUAAGUAAUCAUGGUAUCUGAUUACGGCUGAUUAGGGUUAGGGUUGCUGGUGUGGGAUUUGAUGUCAUUUCUUGUUUCUUUUUCCUGGUUGGCGUAGUUGUUCGCUUUCUGCUGUUGUUGGGCUGUUUUUUGAGCUUGGGCCGGUGUGUGGAUUAUUGGCCUAUACGACUGAUUCAUCUUUUAAGGUGGAAAGUCAUUUUAUUGUAAGAAAAUACUUAUAUCCGGACUAGUAUUUUUUUAAAUUUUCUUUACAUACUCGAUUUAUUUACGCAUAUGUAUUCGUGCAUAUCCGAGAGCCUAAAUUCACAUAUACAUGCCUUUGUAGAGUGAUAACAAAAUGAAGAAUGCUUCUCAAAUGCGAGGUUUGAUUGCAGUACCUGAAAAAAAUAGAUGCAUGAAACCCUCAUUGAUUCCUUUGUAAAUAGGGUUUUUGAACGGUACGUCGGUUCGAGAGAUUGAAAAGGUUGCUUUUAUUCCUUGUUAUGUACCUUCAUUUGAGCUUCUUGCUGUUCCAUUCUUUCACAUAGAGUGGGGGAUCAGGCAGCUCGGUUCCGGUGGCGCAUGACAUUUAUCUUCGAUUCAUAAUUUCAUAUUAUUGGUUUAGAAUUGAAUGUUGAUAAAAUUGGAGGAAGAUAGAAGUUGAGAAAAACGUACACAACGUAAUAUACCAAUAUACCAUAUGAUCGAGCACCUUCAUAAUGGAAUGGUUGUCAUCUUAUGUGCUUGAUCUGUGUUGGCUGGCACUCUCUUUGUUACGGGCAGGGAUGAGUGGCCAUCGAGUAAGAAAUCAUUUGAUUGUAAAGCCUGCAACAAUAUUAUUCUCAAAUCUUGCUUUGGAUUUGGAGAUCUGGUUAUAUAGGCCCAUAAAUCAAUUAUGCAUGAUAGCAUGAUCACAGUGUUCACUUCCUGUUAGUGAGCUUGUCUCUAUGCUCUCACUAAGUAAAGACUAAAGACGAAAGUUAUUGUUGUAUUCCAACACAAUGCUGACAAGCACAUCACAACUUCCGCUUUAGUUUCUCCUUCCUCAAUCCAAUUAUUCAUCACAUCUUGUUUAUGCUUUAAAUAUCACGACGAAGAGGAACUAUAUCAGACACAUAGAAUACGCGCGCACACACAUAUAUCACAUAUUCAAAAUGUUUAAUAUUUCUCGGUAACACACUUGAUAAAUUCAUAAGUUAUUAUCGAAAUUACGAUAUACAAUAGAAAACAAGACUUAACUUUCGGUGUCCUCUAUUCUUCCAAACCUUAAUUAUUCACACUUCAUAUGUGUGUUGACAGCUACCUAUUGAUGGGUGCAUAUCCUUGUGGCUUGUGGUGUGUGAAAAGCUCAGUGAACGGAAAUGUCAGUACCCAUCAAUCGUAGCUAGCUAGCAAUUUUGGCUCCAUCCAUCCAUCAACAGGCAACAGGUGGCAUUGGCAUGGCACUCCCUGCCGGAGCACAACCAUCGCUUCCCAUUGUCCAGUUUUUGCAGACGACUCCAGGGGAUACGUGUCGCUCGACCCACCAAACACAAGUGGCAAUCUGGGUUUGCCUGGGUUCUUCUUCUCUUGUCGUACGUUCACUGGUUCUCUCUCCCACAGGCCACAGUAGGAAGUUUGGAACUUGGAUGCUAGCUAGCAGUGGUUUGAAUUCAAAAGAAAACCAGGUGACAGAGAAGAGGGUUGUAUCUGUAAAUCUUAAACAUCCAUGAGUGGAAGGCAUAUUUUGCUCCGAUUCUUAAGACCACUAAUUAAGAUGUGUCCCAACCUCUGCAUACAAAUAACUUGUCGAAAAGACAUUUGCAUACAAAUAGCAAGGCAUGUCUUGCUUCACAAACUCGUACAUGGAAUAAAAUGGAAUGAAAAAGGCUACAUCAAGCAAGUAUGACUAUUAUUAUAUCUAAAUUAGUAUCAAAGAGGGAGAUUAUAUUCAAAGGUUAACACAUCUUUUUUUGCUAUUAACGCACAUUAUUUAUUUUCUCAUCCACACAUUUUAAUUUUAUUUAAAACCUUGUUAUUUAAAAUUAUUUUAUAAUUGACUAUCAUCAUAGACGAAGUGUGUUAAAUAAAAAAAAAAAACGUUAUAAUUGAUUAUAUUUAAUACGACAUUGUGUUUGUAUAUUAUUUAGACAAAUUCAUGAUAUGAUCAUUAUCGAAAAACAUGUUACCUAUGUAACGUCUUUUACGUGUAAAGGGUAUUUUCAGCAUUGAUAAGUCGGUCUACAAUUCAACCUAAUACUGGAUGGGUGUACGUACAAUUUUGGAAAGUGAUUGAAUGUAAAUGAUGAUUAUAACACAAGAGUAAUUACAGCAAAAGUACCCAAGGGUGAUUGAUGGUGACAAAUCAGGUAACUGAGACUUUUACCUUUCUAAAUUCAACUCAUUUGUUUAGGGAAAAGUGGAAAACCGAUGAAAGCGAGAGCCCUCCAAUCUACUUUGUCUCUGUAAUAAGAUGCAGAACAGGUGUCCAGAAAUGUAAAUGCGACUCUGCCAUCUCAAAAGCUACAACACAAAGACCUCAACUUGCAGAGUCGUCGUGGGGUGUGUGGAAAAAUCUUCCCGACUUGUUCAUCACUCUCUGUGUCUGCUUCGACCUCCUCAAAAAAAAAAAAAAGUUUCAGUCUUUCUUCUUCAUUAUCAUCAAGUCACUCUCGAGCUCUUUCUUCCUCAGCGAGCUGUCGUUUUCCAUUGGGAGUUACUGGGUCUCUUGGUUCCCGAGAAAACUAGCAAGAGAGAAUUGGGUAUGUUUUUUAACCACCUACUUCGCUCCAUAACUGGUCAAUGGCCAUUUUUGCUCGUUGUUUUUAUGGGUAUUCGUUUGUCUUUGCUUCUUUUAAAGAUUUGAUCUUUAUCUGCUUCUUCUUCUUUGAGCUUUCAAAUACAUUUCAAUCUCUUUUAUGGAAGCUUUGAGUGUUGAAGUCAGUGGAAUAAGUGCUUCUGUUAUCUGGGUAUAUGUUAGUUUAAGCUUUGAAUCUUUCUUUGUACAAACUAUUCUCUAUAAUGUUUAUGGGUGAUGAGCUUUUAUUGCAAAGGCUCUGUUUGGUUUGGUGAGGAAAACAAAGGCUAUGUAUUACCCUUUGGUCUUUGCUAGGGGAUCAAAGAACCAGAGAAAUACUAUUAGGCUUUGUUUCUCUUUUCUUUUUGUUUGGUCAUCAACCAGUGGUUUCUUGGGAUAUUUAGUCGUUGGAGCUCAAGUUCUAAUCUUUUUAUUAGAUGGGUUUGUUUCAUAUAUGAGUGUUGAUGAUAUUGCUUUUCUGUAGUCUCAUCAAUGGUUAUUGAUUUCGUACUCUUAUUCAUAUGUGUUUCUUGGCUUGCAUUAUUUUGGUUGCAUUUUCUGUUCCUUUGCAAAUUGAAACUUACUUUACUUUUGUGGUAUCUGGUAGGCAUAUGGAGCCUUGGAGUUUCGGUUCAGAAGGGAAAGGGUUUUUAUUUGCUGAUGAGAUGGAUAUACCAAUUGAUGCAUUUGCAAAAAGUACAAAAGCAUUUUUAGAAUGGGAUAACAAAACUUGCUUUAAUUUCGAUAAAGAAUCAGUUGAGAGCAUGGAGUUCAUGGAUUCGGGAUUGCCUGAUACAAUGAAGGAGCCUUUUCAUGGUAACCAGGUAGUGGAUAUCUUGAGUGGUGUCGGCUGUAAUGAUUCUAGUAACAAUACAGUAGCUUCUCCUACUUGUUUGAUGACUUCAAGUUCAUCAUGGGGUGACGGAGAAUCUGGCUCCAAAUUUUCUAGCCCAGUCUGUGAGUCUAGUAGCCAGGAUUCAUCACUAAUUGCUUUGAAGCUAGGGAGGUUGGCUGAUAGCAAAUAUGGAAAGGAUAGUCAACAUCUGAAAGAGAGGUCAAAGAGAGCUCGCACGAAGGGUUCAUACUAUCAGACUAUCACCUGCCAGGUUCAUGGUUGUAACAUGGAUCUUAGCUCUUCAAAGGAGUACCAUAAGAGGCAUAGAGUUUGUGAUGCUCACUCAAAGACUGCGAUAGUUAUUGUAAAUGGCAUUGAACAGAGGUUUUGUCAGCAAUGUAGCAGGUUGGUGCUUCUUUUCUUGUCCCUAUACAUCUGCUAUGCCUUUGCUUUAAUUUUGAUUUUGUAUUAACUGCGUCUAAUUAUCAAAAGGUAGGAUUAAUUGCUAACCUUAUUCUAUAUCUAGAACGAAUCCAGAGUUAAGAGUUGUUAAUUUUCCAAAUUAAGUGAGGUUUUUCUCCGUUGACUUGUGAGGAACAAAAAUGGAACGAAAGAAAAGUGAAAUGCUAAGAGGCAUCUCAUGUACAUGAAGUGAAGAAAGCCACAAAAGUGCUUCUAUGUGCAUCUGCAUUUUCACACGCCCCUCAAAGAAAGUUAUUUUGCAGAUUCAGCACUUGACUUAAAUAUUUUCUCCUAGGAUUUGGCACAGAUUAGGAUCUCAUAUGCAUGGUGAGAAAUGAUAAUCUCCAUGGUUUGUGAUAUUUUACCUCAUAUUUUAAAAUAUUCAUUAGUUUCCUUGUUUUUGUUUAUUUUUCUAUGGCUUAGUAGUAGUCGAAUAAAGUUCAAGUCAAUUUGGACAGUGAUAUUCUUUUCUGCUUCUUAUUUGAAUCUCUUUGACCUUAAUUCCUGUUUGACUUUUUGUUAAGUAACAUUCUUAAAUUAGGUUUUGACUUUGAUAUUCUGUUACUUUAACAUCUGAUGAUGAAUAUAAAUCUAAUGAACGUCCAUUUCUACUUCUCAUCUCCAUAUAGAUUUGAGGAUCUAUACACCCAAAGGUUUAGUAUACUGCCUCAAAUUUUUUCACUGGUAUGACCAAUUGAUAUCUUUUUGGUUAUUAGGUUUCAUCUGCUGGCUGAAUUCGAUGAUGUUAAGCGUAGUUGUCGUAGACGCUUAGCUGGCCACAAUCAACGCCGAAGGAAGCCUCAGCUAGAUACCUUUGAUUGUAAAUCGCAUAACUGGCUUCAGUCAUAUCAAGGUAUGAUAUGCCUCAUCCUCCUACUGAUAUAACAUUCUUGUUAGAACAAUUUCUGUAGUGAUUUCUCAAUGAGAGAGAUCAAAGAUACUAGAGGCAAGUGGGAUAAGUUUUUUAAGUUCGCAAAAUUCUAUGGCCAUAUACAUGCCGCAUAAAGUUUAUAAAGUUUGAUGGAACAGACCUUUAUGGCUAGGAUUUCCUGGUAAGAGCAUGAUAACUUUAUGCUAUUCUUCAGUCCCACUACAUUUGAAUCUUUUGACCAGGCUGUUUUUUGUCAUUUUCAAUAAGAAUUCCAUCCAUUAAAUUAAAGCUAAAAGAAGGCCACAUCAGCCAACAAUGGUGUUCCUUUUAGUUUUCUAUAAAGUUCAUUUUGGGAGCUUCUAAUGUAACAAUGAUUAAAAUGGUGCAAACAAUUUACCCCCUAUAGCAUUUGAGACCAGCAAAGAUAAUGUUGUGUAGGUGUAUACAAUUUGUCUGUCUAAUCAUACAUUUUCUUGGUUCAGGAAGAAGAUAAGCCUAUAUACCUUCAAAUUAAGAUAUAUGUGACCAUGUUAAAACAACUAAUAGUGAAUGUGCAUUUAAAAUUCAUUGAAGUAACUGUGGGGUAGCCAGGUAGGAUAACUUCAUGAGCUAUGAUAUUUACUGCUAGGUUUUGUAAGUGUUUGCAGGCAUUGGAUAUCUUGGAACUUCCUUGCCAAAGAGAACACCAUUUGUCUUUUCAGAUAUACUUCCAGGUGGCGUUCUAUAUCCAGAAGAAUCUAACCAGUAUGGACAUAUUAAAACUGAAGAUGAAUUAACUUACAGUCAAUGUGUGACACGCACAUCAAACAGGCAAUCAAUUCCAAACUCUUUCCUCCAUCUGCAUGGCCUCGCAAAGCAACAUGCUUCAGGAGUUCCUAUAUCAGGACAUGAAUACUCGGUUUUUGAUACAGCAUCAGAUGUUCAGAAAGAAUCUGGGGCGUCAACCUACCAGGGUGUUCUCUCUCUUCUGUCAUCUCAAUCACAGAGCUCAAUCCAUUCUGCAAGAAAUCAAGUGGCUACCCCUCUGCAAAUGCAGAGAACCCAUCAUGGUGCUGGUCAAAAUAAUGAAUGGCCUUCCACAGUAAAAGCCUUGGAAAAAUGUGGACGAAAUGGAUCCUUCCCAUGCAGGAUGAACUCCAUGGGAACUGACCAGAUGGAUUCGGUAAUGAUUUCUGAUUCUAGUCAUGCUGUUGACUUCCAACAUCGCACAGAUAGGGUCCAGGGGUCAGCUUGCUUCAGUCACAAGUAUCAUCUUUCUCCUGAAAAUGGACCAACUUUUGAUUUGCUCCAAUUGUCUUCACAUUUUCAAAGAGUGGAGCAAGAGAGAAACUUUUUGCAAGUCAAACAGGAACAGGGGGAUUUCUACUGUUUCCCGCAAUCUUAAGUAGCCUUUAAGAGGCAAUGUGAGUGUUUCCACUCAAAAAAUCUGUUCAUGUUCUUUUCUAUCAGAACUGUGUAGCACCUUUUUCAAAAUUUUCUUUAAUGGGCAUCCAAAAUCUAGAAUUGAAGUAAGGACAAUCAAAAUGUGUCUUGCAUACUUAGUCUACUUGAUGACAUUACAGAGAUGGAUGUUCCAGAUAUUAGAGAUGAAAUUAAAAAUAAAAAUAAAAACCAUGAAAUUACUGAUCUGUCUCCUCAUCUAUAUAACUUUAUAAAUGAUAUUCAUGAUUUGAUGCCCCUACAGCUUGUUGGAGGAAGUUUGGAUUCACUUGAUCAGGGACAUUCUACCUACAUUGGUGCAUUUCAGUGGAUGGUAGAAAACUUUUCUUUUUUUCAUAGAAGUAAACAGCGAAGAAGGCGUCUACUGUUCUUUAGACUUUAUACUGUAAGUUGCUUUAGACACCUUUGUUCUAUUUCUCUGCUUAGAUUAUGCUCAUGCAAGGAUUAUACAGUUGAACUAGGGUUGUUUUCCAACUGCGCAUGCUUUUUCGCAUAGAUAAUGUUGAAGGCACAAACCAUCAUGAAAAACAAAAGGAACGGAUCCUCCAAAUUUAGUCGGGUGAUUCUGUUAGAUAUGUUGAAGGAUAUUGUUUAGUUGAUAAAGUUUUGCUGAUGCAUGAUUGAAUGAAUGACUCAUAGUGGAUUUCCUUAGGCCUUGGAACUUGAUGACUUGGAGAAUGAUUAUUUUUAUGUCCACUAUAUUUAUAUAGAUUAUCCCACUCUCAUGGGAAAGGAAAGUUUACUAUCUUAGGAAAAUCGUAUAAGGUAUUCAUGUGAGCCUUAAUCAGUUUGCGAUCAAAGCAAAAAGUUGGAUACCUCAUCCACCUAUGAAAGUUGAAACCAGCAGCCAAUAGAAGGUAGCAAAUACUGGUGGCUACUUCGGUUUUAUAUGAUGCGAUGCGCUGUGGAAUAAUUCCAUUUCGAAACUUACAAAAUUGCAGCCAUCAGAUGCCAUUUGAAUAGAUGAAACCUGCUUAUUCUAUUCAUGUUACACUAAACAACUUGAACAUAAACAAAGAAAAGCCUUUGUGCGCACCAGCAUGGUUCAAAGCACCCAUUCAAUGUCAUUAGCAUCACCAGAAAAUAAAGGAGCAAGGAACAAGUCUCACCAAACCAAACGGGCAGAAGCCCUAUCCAUCACAAAGAGUAACCAAAAUUGUGAUGAGAACAAAAGCUAGAAAAUCAAAGGAAAUAGAAAAAACAAAACAACAACAAUAUUGCUGUGGCCCUCAUGUAAUUAGUCACACCAAGGGCUUGUUCACUUCCUCAUCUACUUCUAACCCUAUUUCAUUUGCUUUUGGGCUCAUCAUCAAUACGGCGUCUUUGAUAGACUUUGCAUGCUUGGCAAACUGGUUUUCUGGCACCAUCUUCAGCAUGAUUCCUGCGGCUAUGAGCAUUAGCCCUGUUCCAUGUUGUUCUGUCAAUGGCUUUGUAAAUAUCAUGUAUGACAGCAACAAUGUCACCGCCUUCCUAGCCGUUGUUAUCAUCGCAGUAGUGGCAGCUCCGAAAAGCGCAAUGAGGGAUAGCACAGAUACUUGUCCUACAUAUGUGGCCAUGGCUUCAAACACUAAGACCCCAUACACAUAAGGAUGCUCGGCGCAAGAAUUCCAGGCCUUAAACAGUUCUCCGGUGAGAAUCAUUGGUGGAAGCAGCAUUGGCAGCCCAACUACUGUUGAGCAGAACAACAUCUCUGUCUGUGUGGUGUCAGGGUUGAGUGUAAAGAUUGCUUCUUGCACAUUCCCCAUGAAGGCAUCCAUAAUCAGCGCGCCAGAUAUCAUCACCACACCCAAUAUGCUGAAAUUGGGGGAUGUAUUUGCAUCCCCUAAUGUGAAAAUGAUCAAACCAAUAACUAGGAGGAUUGCAGAUAUGUACUCAUGAAUUGGGUAUUUCCUUCUCAGACCAGGAAUAAAUGCCCCCAUUACCAUCACAGGCAGAACCUUAGUGGAUUUGAACAUAAUUUGUGCAGGAUAAUUGAGCCAAGCCAAGGAUCCCUUGGUCAAUCCAUGAGAACCCAUCAGAACAGCGGAGAGCUUCACGUAUGUUCUCCAUGGGUUCACCAUUUUCUUGGUGGUGAAACCUUGGAGGUAUAUGAAACCCAGGUACACAAAUCCUUGUACAAAGGUGAAGUACCAUCCAUAGCUGAAUUGGAGACGAUUGUAUACGUACUCCUCGCAAAUGCCAUUGACAAGGUAACCAAAGAAGAACCCUGAAGAACAAAUGAGGAAUUGUUGCCAAACCGGCCUAUCGGAGAGUGAUAUCCAAAAUAGAAACCUUGUUUGAUCCUCGUUCUUCAUCUCCUGAAAAUUGAUAAGACCCAACAAAGGCCAGCACUAUUAAAACCCGAAGACUGGGUUUUAAUUAGUGCUGCAAUGCCCUAGCUAGGGAUGCAAUGCUGCAAUUAAUUUCUAACUAAAAUUCAAUAAUGUUGAAUCAAAAAGGUUGGUUUUUGGGGAAGAAAAUUAUCUCGGAGGUAGAUUAUAUGUAAAGCUUUGGAAGCCCUUUUUUGACGAACAGCCAGUGAGAGUUUCUUGGGGAUUACUAAAUUAGAGAAUCAGAAGAAGAAGGAGCUCUCUCAGACAUGCACAUAACUAUAUGGCUCUUUUCUAUUAGGGGGAGGUGGAAAAUGGCAAUGAGGGUUUAAUGUGACGUAUUUAGGAAGUGACUUGAUUGUGAUUUUUUUUUUUAAUUAAUAAAAUUUAGCUUAUGUUUAAUACACUAUAUAUAUAUAGAGAGUAAAACGAAAAGAAGAAAAACAGUGUUAUAACACAGUAAAAUUAAGGAUCGUUUCAUGCAUAACCAACUAACCGAGUUACAGAAAUGGAAACAUAAUCAUUAAGUAAUACCACACAUUCUUAAUGCCAUGUUCAUCGAUCAUGAGUUCAUGACUAAGAAAUCAAACAAACUACAACGAUGGAGUUGAAAGUUCUAACUUGAAUCAUACAAGACCAACGUAAAACGAUUCGAUUACAUAUAAAUGCAUUAUAGCUAGAUCUAGAUAAUUAAGCUGAACCAGUAGUACUGCUACAUUGAUCCCUCUCCAGUUCUACGUCGCUCCUCCAUAAAUGCCUGUUCUGGUAGCCUAGCGUAAUAGAACGACCUACUACUCAGUCCUGCAAAAUCUGGGACCUUGUUACCAUCGAUACGUAUCUGAACUUUGAACGAGUAAUUAAAGUCGAACAGUGUCAAUUUCUUACCUUAAGUUUCUUACUGCUGCCAGAAGCUGUUGCAGCAGCUUCUCCUGAAGAGCUAGGGUACCUUGCCCACUGUAAUAUCGACAGCUAAAUAGUUAGGUUUACGUAAAAAGUACAUAUGAAAUCUAACCAGGUCUGCCAGAAAAGGCUAUGCAACCAUACGUGAACACUGAACCCUAAUUAACUGCAAAGGCUUAAAGCACCCUUACAUUUUUGGCAGCAGCACUAAAAGCUUCACGGUGUGGAAUCUCAGGGUUCGCUGCUUUGAUCCGCUGGAUCUCCUCCCUAUAUAACAAGCACGCACAAUACAAAACUAAGGUGCUUAGAAUGAUGUGAUAAUUAAGAAUGAUGUGAAAGACAAACGUAAUAAUUGGAUCCUCUCACUUCAUGAAGCGGUUGUAAGCAGAUGGAACCCUGUGUUUCUUCUCAGGUGCUGCAAGGUAAACAAAUGAACACUCAUAUUAUAAAUCCAGAUAAACACACCAAAAAGAAAUCUCAUUUCAUGUCAAAGUUCAAGUACGUAAUCAACUAGCUUAAAAAUGGUGAUCAGGCUUGCUACAUACGUUUACAAACAAAGGGUGCCUUUGGGGAUGAUGGACUUUCCAGAGAUGUGGGUGACGAUGAUGAGGAGGAAUGACCACCCCUUCUUGAAUCAGUGGAAUAGCUCUGCAAGAAUAUUGACCAUUUCAAUAUUCAAAUCAGUGCCACACCUCUAUCAAUUAGUUAUCAGCUAGUAUAGGAUAAGAUAUAGGGGAUAUAUUAUACUACCUAGGGUUUUCUUUCUUAUAUAUGCAGGAUAGACAGGUAUAUAUUUUGAAUUCAAGUAGAACUACAAAUAAGAUUUUAAGUACUAACCUGAUGAAGAGUCAAGGUAGUAGGGUAAUCAUUGAUCUGGCACUGAUGAGGUGCAGGUUGGAUCUGGAUUGGAUUAUUAGGUCUGGUGGUAAGAAAGGAGAGGUUGCUGCAAUGACCACAUUUCACCGUCACUGUGUCCAUCAUCCUCUUGAAUGGAAGCCCAACCUAUAGUACAGUUACAUAACAUGAACAUGAACAUUAACAAACCAACACAACACAGCGAGCAGAAGAAGAUCCAUCUGCUGUUUGAUCUAAAACAACAGACAUUUCUUAUAAGCAAGACCCUUUAAUCGAUCAGCUUACUGUUGUAAUAAGUCAGUAUUGUAGCUAGCUAGGUUUAACCAUAUAAGGGCAGCAUGAUUCUGAGAAAACUGACUUGUUGAUGGAGAUAUAGAGAUAUAUAGAGAGAGAAGAGGAUCGUGGUUUCUUCAAUUUAUGAGACAAUAGACCAGGGACAAAGCUAAAGUUGGAAAAUAUAUGUAUAUGCUUCUUCAUAUUAGUUGAUUGAGAACUCACAGCAAGAACGGUGUUGCAGAAGUUGCACCGAACGUAGCAAAGAUGCUCAGAUGGUUGAACCAAGUCCAUGGGGACCUUGUCUUCCAGGUUCAUCGUGAAAGAAUGCUAAAGCCACUCGAAGAUGAGAAGAAGAAGAUCGAGGUGGUUUUGCGAUCUCCUGGCCAAAGCUAUGUAAGUUUGGGGUAUGUGAUGAAUGAGAGGAGUGGUCGAGGGGGCUUAUUAUUAUAGUAGCUUGAAGUAGCAAAGCUGAAGCUAAGCGUCAAAAGGAAAAUCUAAAACAACUAUGUCUUUAGUCAUCAAUGAUAGUACAACUGGUUCAGCAGAGGUCCUCAUGACUUGCAUAAACUUUUGACCAAGAUCAAUCGACUAACCAUUUUCACGAGAAUAUAUUCUAUCAUAUUGCAUGCCAUCAUGCCAUGCCCUAGUCAUUUUAACCAUGGCAUGUGUGUUGAUUAGGGAUCAAUCGAAGAGCUCCUGUAAUCAAAAACAGAAAGAGAUUUUGGAUACCUGUACGUUUAAGUUGAUCAAGAUCACUCAAUUAGUAAUCAAAUCCGGUUUGCUUCUUUGUUUUUCCUUAAUUGAUCAUUCUAAAAAUCUAUCAGGUGAUUCUUUGCCAGACAAAAUGGACACUUCAGUGAAUGAAAAGAUAGUUAUCGGAUGAAUCAGCCUAAUAUAUAGAUAUUUCAUUAUCAUAGUCAUGAAACUUCUUCCAAACAUUUGAAGGAGCACAUUAACUUGUUAAACCAAUUGUCGUACCGACGAUAUAUGCAUCAUCCAUUUCUUUUUCAUCGUUUAGUGUUUAAAUCUUAGCCCGCAAGUACAGAGCUUAAGUUUCACUCCUCAUCUCUUGCGAUGAUAAAACUAAGAAAACGCUGAUAAUUGGCAUAUGAUACAUAAGCUAGCUAGUUUAUCUGUCAAGAUCUUUGUAGAAAGUCUGUAAUAACAUUAUUGAAUUUAUACAUAAAAGGAAGGUUUCACGUAUGAUUUCGCAUAGUUAUGUAUGAAUUAUGAUUGUAUCAUAACAUCACACUUCUCCAACUCAAGCUGAGGUUCAUAGUAAUUUUGUUUCAGAGAUAUUAUACAGAUUUGAAUUACAUAUAAUUCAAAAUAUCUUAUACAUGCACCAAACAACGAUAACAAUUCCACAGGAGAAAAAAAUACAGUUAUCAUCGGAUACAUGAUAUGUCCCAUCAAAAUUUACAAUAAGUACUAGAGAAACAAAUCAAAAAACAAUAUUUAGCCAAUUCGUGUGAUAUCCUAUUUGCUUUUAGGCAUCCUAGAGGACUCCAGGACAAUUCACAAAAGCAAAAGCUCGUUGGGAGAUCGAGUUUUGGUGUUUGGAUUUAUAUAUCUUUCUCAUGUGCAUGUGUAUAGUACGUGCUUUUGAAGCUUUGCAUGUAUACUUGGUUGUAAUUUUUUUUAUCCCAACCAAUAACUAGUAAAUUUCUCAUAUCACUAGCAAGUUAUGCCGAGUACAAAUGUUAUAUGAAAAGUUGCUUGGGCAAUUUGAGAAGGCCAUCAUGACGAUCAGCUUUGUGCUAAAUUUCUCUAGCUUUGUUUUAAAUAUCAAAAUACCAUGAAUGACAUUGGGGUUUGGAGCCAACUAGAAAUGAACCAGCUUGCCUAGAAUCGAAGGAACUGAAUGAGAUGAAUGAAUAGUAAAAAGUCGAGGUUGAACGAGCUAGCCAGGAGUGAAUGAAACUGAAUGAGAAAUUUCGAAAAGAUAUAUAGUAGUAUAGCUUAGUGCAUGGCAGUGAAGAUGGAAGAGAAAUAUAGGUCCUGUCCUCCCUUCCUUCUUUUGUGGGUGCAAUGCUAAACAUGGAAACCCGAAAGAGACACGACCUUAAAUCACAGGUCACUUCCCUCUCAAAGGGCCAAAGCCAGGACAUGGGUUAUGCUAGCUCUCAAUUAACUUUGGCGCCCUUUUUUGAGUUGAUGGGACGAUUCCAUCAGGUUUCCCAAACUAGAAAUAAAGACAUUUUCACCACUCCAAUCUCCACCUCCCCUUGUUCGUAUAACACCGUUCUCCCUAGGCAUGCCCUAAGUCCUCAGGCCGAUCGAUUGUGCAUGCAGACUAGUAUAUGUAGGCGUUAAUGGCUUUCAGCUUUCUUCUCUCUUUUGGAAUGGAUUGCAUUGGACGCUUUUGGUUUAGCUCCAUAUGCAUGCGCACCAGAUUCUCCCAUGUCUUCUGUGAACCUCACCAUACUUACCAGACCUGACCAGAAGAGACCAGACCGGACGAGCUAUCCAACCAUUUCACACCUCGGAUCCAGCUUGUGGUUCAGUUCCUUAACAUUUUGGGAACAAUCAUUGGGGCCAUACUCAUCUCCGGUUUGCAUCUGAAUCGGGAAAUUCAGAUUAGAUGAUACACGAUCGAUCAUCACCACCCCUUUAUAGGCUUCUGCAUCGUACUACCUACAUUUUAUCAUUUUGCUCUCUAGGUGGUUAGCUACAUAGGUUGUGAUUGUCCAACACUUCACGUCACGGUACGUAUACAACUUCAAUUAUUUGUAUAGUUAACUUGAUCAUUUUAACUCUACGUUUCUAUAGUUAACUUGUUCAUUUUAGCAUGGGUUCAAGGUUAUUCCCCUAUUUUCACCAUGGCAUUCAGUGCCCGCACUCUCUACACAUGUCAUUCCUAUCUCAUAUGUCACUUCAUAAAAGUUGUUCACAUAUUGGCCCAAAAUGCCGUAACAAUAAUAAAGGAACACGUCGAGAAUUCACAUUCACGUGAAAUUGAUGAAAAAUAUAUCGUUACAAACCUCUCAUAAGAGCAUCUCCAACAGUUUCUUCAAAAUUUCUCUAAAAUAGGAAAGCAAAAGCUAAAUUCUCCAAAAAAAUUAUGAUCAAAAUCCAGCAGCUUCUCCAUUUUAGAGAUUUCGGCAUUUAAUAUAACAAUAAAAUAUAAUAUAUCAUCAUGAAUUAUAACAAAAAAUAUUAUAUAUUUUAUUGUAACAAUAAACUACCCAAUCAAAUAUUUUAUUGUUGUUUUAAAUUAAUUGGAGUACGUGAAUAAUUUAAUUUUGGGGAAAGAAAGCUUUGCUGCAAAUUUGGGGAAUGAAGACUUCUUUUUCUUCUUCAUCCCUAUUUUGGGGAAUGAGAUGGGGAAACUGUUGGACCUAAAAACAGCUAUAUAUUCCCUAAAAUUGAGAAGUUCAAGAAAAUAGGGAAGCUGUUGGAGAUGCUCUAAGAACUGUAUUAUCAUAUUUCAUCAUCUCACUAUAUGUACAAUACAAAAACUAGUCAUCGCUUAAACAACUAGUCAACCUCACAAAAGUAGAUUAUGUCGUUAUAGCAUUUUUAGAAAUUCAUUUUAGACAUAAGGUUCUUAUUGAAGCAAAAUCCUACUUUCACUAUCACACAAUUGCAUGUUCAUUCUUGUCUACUUGCUAUAACUACUACAUGCAUGUUUACACAAGAAGAAUGGGAAGUGGUUUCCAACUUCCACACUCAUCUCCAUAUUUUGGAUAUGCUUGAUAGAACAAGAAAACAAAAAAACGAAAACAAAUAUAAUUUGAAUAUCAGGGCAGCCCAAAACAAGCUGGACUGGGCUCGUCAGUGAAAGCCAGAACAAAUUUUACAAAUAGUUACUGAAUCACAAGUGUCAACAAGGUCGUUGUAGUAUAGUAGUAAGUAUUCCCGCCUGUCACGCGGGUGACCCGGGUUCGAUCCCCGGCAACGGCGCUUUUUUUUCCACUUUCUUUUUCUCUCAGUUUUCAGCUCCUCUCUCACUCGCCUGUUACCCAAUUAACAUCACCAAUCAAAUCACACCUAUUUUCCUCUCACCAACCAACCAGAUCGCACAGUCACACACCCACCCCACAAACACAGGUAAUCUUAACAUCCAAUCCCGGGCCCACAAAACCCCGCUCCCCAUUUUCGUUUUCCCGCCACUCCCUCCCUCCAAUCUCACUCCUCCCAAAAACACUAGAAAACGUCAAAACUCGCCGCUAAAAAAUUUGACCGUCGUUUCUGGAGCCCAAGCUGAGAUUCUCGCCGGAAAAUGACGAACCCUAACGGCGCCGUCCAGGACAAACCAGACGACCUCGAAAUCACCUCCAUCGGUUCCCUCUACUCCGGCCCUUGGGACAAGAAGUACUGGAGCUCCUCUAGGGUUUGAUUUCGAUUUCCCUCAUUCUUGAUUUCAUCGAUUUCUUCUUCAAUUUGAUUAUGCUAGCUUUCUUCAGCUUGAUUCAAUUUUGCUUUAAUGAACGGUCCGGAUCGAAUUGAAUAGUUAGGUUGGUGAGAAUCGGAAAGUUUAAUUGAAUCGAAAUGAGUAAUUAGGUUAGAAAUUAGUUAAUUUUAUGUAUUUCAAGUCGGCUUAGGUAGGGUUUUGUCCUCACGCCCUAUCUGCCCAGACGAUGAGGAUUUUUUUUUAUUUUUUUAUUUUUUAUUUUUAUUUUUUUGGUAGUUCUGAUGUGUUUGACAAUUGAUUCAGUGAUGUAGUUUUCAAUUUGCUGAGUUAUGAUUGUUUUUUUUUUUUUUUUUUUGUAGGGGAAAGAUCGAUAUCCAUAUCCGAUAGGGUAUGGAGCUGUUCGAGCUCACAAUGGGAGCACAUAUAAGAUGGAAAUUCAAGAAGGUCCUAAAGGGCCUUUAUUUUUGGUUAGUUGCUGUUGAUUUUGGCUAAUCAGUGAUGUUGUAGUUUGUGGUUGCAAUUUGUUAUUGAGGAUUGAAGCGAAUGAUUCUUUAUGUGUGUACAGAUUAUUGCUGCCGAUGGGCAGCCUUUUUCCGGGCAAACUCCUGAUAUUGCUUGGGAGAAAUUACAGAAAAAAUGCUUCCCACGCACGAAGAUUUGGCAUGGGAAGAGAUUUUCCUGCAAGAUAGAUGGUGUGGAGGUAGGCAUUGAGCCGUUUUUAUGAGUAGUGUUCUCUAGAGUUGCUUUUAGUUCUAGCUGUGGACUUAUGUGCUUUGCCUUCUUGUGGUUUUAUAUGCAGUUUUUUGGGUUCAAAAAUCGAUUUGUCCAGAGGCUACUUCGGGAGCUGGCAGCAGAGCAAAGCUUGUUACCCUCGAGCUCCUGCAAUGGAGCUUCUGGACCAGAUGUUGAUAACCGCUCCCCUGAGGCAUGUUCAGACCUGAGAGGACCACAGAUCACAGGGAAGAGAAGUAGGAAACGUGAAAGUGGAAAUGCAAAGUCAUCUACUCGGACAGGCAUUAAAAAGACUAGAACUGAAGAUCUGAUAUCUGUUUCUGAAGCUUUGAGUUCAGUAAAAGGGAAUAAGAUACAUAGCAAUAAUGGGAAUCCCAUGCCUCCUUCUUUAAAUGAAGAACAUGUUAUACCAGAAGUGUUGCCACCGUUGGUGCAUUUAGUAUCUGUUCGUCAAGCAGAGAACGAGAUUUCAGCCAAAGAUUGUUUGCCAUUGGAUUCUGCUGGCUUCUUGAAUCAUCUCAGCAAGGAUAAUAUCCCUGAAGAAUCAAAUGGUUCCCGAAAAUGUAAAUCCAUUCCGGCAGCCAUCAACAUGUCUGUGGAUAAAAGAAAACCUGUGAGAACAUCUCACCUUUUUGUUUCUCUAGUUUCUCUUAAAUUCAAAUAUCUUUCAGAACCUGUUAAGAAAUAUUCUUAAGUGCUUAUAUUGAUAUACGUCUUCAAACUUGGCUUCUAUGUGCUUGUUGAGAAUAGUUGCUCUUGUAAGAGUAGAUUUUCUCAUGUCAUGGUUCUUUAUGCAUUUGCUAUUGAACAAGAAACAUUCCUAACUUCUUACAGGUUGAUUGGUCUCAGGAUACUAAGAGGGAAUUCAUUAAUUUCCCAAUGGCACCAGAUGACCAAAAUGUAGAUGCUACAAUUCCAAAAGAUUGCCAACGCCUGACUGAUGUUGAACUUUAUGCUCCUGAUACCUUAGAUUUUACACAAGGUAAUCAGUACUAUCUACUUGUUUCCUAUAUGUUCAACUGUGAUUGCCUUAGCUUGUGCCUUCAAUUGAAUAAUUGAUCAGUGUCUUCCUCUUUGUCCAUGUAAUAGUACCACUUCUCAAAUGCAGAUAAAACAGCAGAUUCUCCUUCAACUAUCCAACUUUUUGCACCUGAUACCUUGGAUUUUACUCAAGGUAAUUACUAUCCACUUGUUUUCUAGUGUGGUCAACCGUGACUGCCCUACCUUGUGCCCUGAACAAUAGAAAAAUUAAAAUUUGUCUUCCUCUGUGUUCAUGUAAUUAUGCCAAUGCUCAAAUGUAGUUAAAAAUGCGGAUUCUUCUCCAACUGUCCAAGAUAGAAGCGCAUUGGAUGUGGUCAUUGCUGAAAGGCUGCUGACUGAAUCACAUCCGGAAGAAGAAAUGGCUACUAAUAAAUCUGACACGAGUUCACAGAAUAUUGAUUUUGAUUCAGUUGGUCAGGAAAUGGCGAAGUCCAUGAUGACAUUUCUUCUUCCGCAAGCUAUUCCUCUCCUCAGUAAGCGCUCUAGGAAGAAAAAGGGUACUGGUAGCCCUUCAGUAGUUCCUCGCACAGUGAAAUCUCAGAAGGAAAUCAAUGAAACCACUGCUCCCUCCCCUGGUGCUUUUACAAACUUUAUCAAUCUGACAUUAAAUAUUUCAUUUUUGUGGAAUUUGGUAUUAUUUAAAUUUUGCAGUCAGAAAUUUUACCAUCUUCUUUCAGGUUUAAUGCUUUCCAAUGAAGACGCAAAGGAGGAAAAGAUACAUUCCCAAUAUACUGAUCUUGGUCCAAUUGCUCCAACAAAUUCUAUUAUUCCCGACAGUUUAGAUGAUGAGCGAUAUGGUGACCAUGUUGCCAAUCACUUGAUAAUGUUGUCUGAUAAGGGUGAAGCUGAUCAGCACCAUUCUGAUGGAGCAUUCCCUAUGAAUGAUCAUGGACAUCUUGUUUCCGGCAAUGAGCAUGGACAUCUUCUUGAUGCCAAUAAGCAUGACAAAUUGGUAGAUGAUCAGCUUGAGACCAAUGGAAGCAAGGAUGCAUAUCUGUGUGAGGAAGUGGGCAGGGCUUCAACUAGGAGGCUUCAGGAAUGUAGUGGGUACAUAUUGGAGUCUCUUCCAGUUUGUGUAUCUCCACAUAAAAAAUUCUUUUCUGAAAAUUUCACGGAGAAGUCUUAUAUCGAUGAAUGCCAAGUAGGUACUAUCAAUUCUAAUAGAACGAAAACUGCAGCUGAUUCUACCAAAGGUAAUUUUCUGAUACAAAUUAUUCCAUUUUACUUAUUGCUUGGUUCUCAGAUGCCAGCAUACAAUGACAUAAUUACUUUGUCUUAUGAUAGUUUAGUUACUGUUAUGACAUGUCAGUAUUGCUUUCAUUAUUAUCAAUCCCCUCCUCCUAACCCCCCCACACCUCUCUUUUCUAUUCUUUUUUCUCUUUAAAAGGAUAUAAGAGUACCACGGAGCUGAACUGCAUAGUAUUUAUUUUUUUAUAUUUUUUUUUCAGAUUAUAAUAUGUUAUGAUUUAUGAAUCUUAUAAUAUUCUAACUAAACCAUUUAUUCUGUUUAUUCAUCUAUAGAUAUGGUUGAUGACAACCAAAGAGGCAUUCUAAAUUCUUCAAAGAUAUCAGAGAAGGAAAUCACUGCUAAGGCAGAGUUUACCGAAACUGGAAACGUGUCUUUUUCUCAAGUUCCCAACUCAGUGUAUACCAGGAGAAAGGUUCGGACUACAUCUCAUAGGAAAGGCAGUAACAGUGGUUCAGUCUCAGAAACUAUAAUAUGCAAAAACAAUGUACCUGAGACGUAUCCUUCCACAGAGACUCUGCAGGUGGGUUCUGAUGACAGUUCAAAUAAAAGAGAUUCAAUUUGUGCUGAAGCCAGGAUUGUUGGACACUCCAGUUUGAAUGCAAAGGAACCUUCCAUGAAUUCUAAAUCUGUAAUAAACGGCAUCUGUCCAGCUGUAUUACAAGGUCAAGCAUUAUUAGUUGGUGAGAAAGAUACUUCAUACUCUUCUGAUUUGUCUGUCUCACAUUUAGAAAACCAGGUUGACAAGAAGGUGGUUGGGAAUGAAAACCUCCUCCAGUUCAUAGACUCUGAAACAUCUCAUAAACAGGGGCCUAGUUUCAGUUAUGAUCCUAAUAGCAUUCCAUUUAGUUCAAAUACGAAGCCUCACAAAAAGGAACAUAAUAAUGGGCUAGCGGGAAUUCUUGAGUUUGUGGGAUGCUAUACUCAACCCGUUCCUGUUCUGUCAGUAUUGUUGAGCACAAAAGGAAGAUACAUUUAUGUUUCUGUUUUAUGUGGCUUACUGGUUGGUAAGGACGUCAGCCUGUUCAUUUACAAGGUAGCCAUAGAGGAACCGAUGGUUGGACACUCUUCUCUCGUUGGUCACACAUCAUUAACAUUGCCAGACCUAACCGAUUAUUCUAAUGGAGUAAGUUCUUAUAUCUAAUUGGUUGGUAGGCUUGUCUGCUUUAUGUUGACAUUGGCUGAUUGUAGCUGUAAUUCUUUUGCUAGAUGGCUUUGGAAAGAUUCUGUCUACAGUUCAUCCCAGAUGGACAGUGUCUUGUUUUACUUGACAAGAUUAGAACUCCAUUCUGCAGGUUAACUCUCUUUGCAUUAUUUUAAAGUAAGGAUGUGAAUUGGGAGUAAAGCUAUUUGUAAGAGUUUCAUUUAAAUGCUCUCAGGCAAGGGAAAACCCAUUGUCUGUGCACCACAUGUGCAUCAAGCUGCUCUGAGGAGGAUGCAGUUAAGAUUGUCCAAGUAAAACUUGGUUAUGUUUCAUUAGUGACAAGAUUGAAAGCAGCACAGAGUCAAAGGUGUAUAUUGGUUUGUGAACCUAACAAUCUUGUCUCUGUUGGAAAGAGUGGGAGACUGCAUUUGUGGGUCAUGGAUUCAACAUGGAGGUGUGUCUUUGAACUCUUAUUUCCAUUUUUGAUACUAUUGUACGUGCCAGCUGUAGUUAAAAUGUGAUAUUGGUAUAGGAAUACUGUUUCCCAACCCAGGUUGCUGCUGCAGAUUCUGUAGCAAUAUGCUAAUAAUAUAGUAGACCAUUGAUUAAGUAUGCACUCUGUGUUGCUUUAGCUUUUGUUUUAUCAUUUUCGUACCAAUCAUAAAUUCAUAAUAAAAUCUGAUGGUACCUGAUAUGUUUAAUUAUUCUUUGUGCAUAUUUGUUUACAUUUGUUUGCUACUUUGAGCUGUUUACUUGUCUAUCUAUUCCUUUUGUUCAAGGCAGCUUAAGACUCAAAAUUCCUUGUUUGCAGUGCACAAAUGGAAUAUAUUGUUAUGCCGUCUGAAGAUUGCAUCUCCCCUGGCGUAGUGGACUUGAAGAGAAUUCCAAAUUGUACUCAUCUAAUUGUUGGCCAUAAUGGUUACGGUGAAUUCAGUUUAUGGUAUGUCUCUCUUAGACUAGACACAAGUGAUCCUCUUUCAUUGAGUAAAAUAUCACUAUUAUGCUAGAUUCUAUAGGCUAAAUUGUUGGUCCUAGCUGUAUUACUGGUGCUGUAUUGUUUUUUCAAGUUGAACAUUAGUUGAUCUGGAAUUCUGGAUCAAUAAAUAUGAACAUUCAUUCAUAUUCAUUCAUAUACUCAUAUAGCUCAGACCAAAAUUUUAUCACAGUUUUUCUGUCGUGUAAUUCAUCUCAGUUGAAGGUUGGUGAGUAUAUUAGGUUAGAAAAUUUCUGUUCACCUUAUUAAUAGCGAAACAGAUUGUCAAAACUUAUCAGAAAAUGAAAAUAUUGGAUAAUAAAUCUGUUUCACUUUUCCUAGUACUAACAAUAGAAUGUUUUUUUUUCCUUUAAACUUCAGGGAUAUUACUAAAUGCAUCUUUGUGUCAAGGUUCUCUGCACCAAGUGGUUCAAUUUGUCAAUUUGUCCCUAUCAGUUUGUUUGCUUGGCAAAUGAAUUUCCAUGCUUCUAGCCACUUUGAAAUGGAAGAACAUGUCAAUCAAAUGAUGGCUUCAAUAUCGAAGACACUAUCUUCGUAUGAAGGGGAAGAUGUUGCUAUAUGUCUUCUUGUUUUGUCCUCCGAUUCUGAUGCUCAACAUGAUUAUGAAUUAGGCAAUUGCCACCCAAAUCCAGUUGGACGAUGGAGGCUUGCUCUAAUGGUUAAAAAUAUAGUGAUCCUUGGAACUGCAUUGGAUUCAAGGUGCAUCAAUAUCUUACUUCAACUUUUCAGGGGUGUAGUUGAAAUCUACAUUGUGUUGUAGUAAACCCUUUUCUUGGGUAGCAUAGCUGGAAAUUAAGCUGUUUAGUGCAAGCAAAAAUGUUUGCCUGGAUUUUCAGGAAUGAAGUUGCUCCAUUUUUCAGUGGUAUUUAGUUUAAUGACUGAAUGAUUAUUGGUCCAAGUAAAGUGGAAGUAGAGAUUUCUACCUUUAGGAAAAUCUGCAGAAUCAUACAUCCGGGUAAAGAUAAACAUCAAAAGUCCCAUUCAUGUGUUUCUCGGAUGAUUUAGAAUGUAUACUGAUAAUUUGAUAAUAACUUGUUAGUUUUCUAUUUAGCUGAGAGUGCACAACCUAAAUCAUGUAUUCAACUGCUUCUUAACUUUUGAACUUGCUGUACAGGGCUUCUGUCAUUGGUGCUUCAGCUGGUCAAGGGAUCUGUGGUACAUGUGAUGGACUUGUGUAUACGUGGGAGUUAUCUUCAGGAACUAAGCUUGGCACCAUGCAUCAUUUUAAAGGUAAUGUACUAACUGUUAACCAUAUAGAUAAGUAGAUGCUUGAAACAGCUCUUCUUCAAAUCAUACAGCAUAUUUUGCUCCCCAAGAGAUUUACUUCUGUUCAAUUCAGGCUUUCUAUAUAAUCUUCUCUUACUGCAUCAGGUGGCAGUGUUUCAUGUAUUUCUAAUGACGAUUCAAGGUCAGGUGCCGUGGCCAUAGCCGGGGACAAUCAAGUGCUGGUUUAUCGCUCCAGAAAACAUUCUGUAAACUGACAUGCAACAAGCUAUUUUAUCUCUUGCCUGUGAAUAUUAGAUAUAUAUAUGUACAUAUAGAUGAUUUCUAGCGCUUGGUACACUGAAACUCGUGGUUUGGAUAGAAGAAAAAGAAAGUUUUUGCCUCCAACAUGAAAUCACUAACAUAUGAUACAAAAGUUGUUCAAAUAUAAGAACAACCAUUCCUCAAGUUGAUGAUUUCUUUCUAUGAUUUGGUUUCUCUGCUACAUUGAACUUAUCAGUACCACCUUCUAUUGUAUCAUUUGUGAAGUAAAUGGAAGGAGUGCACAAACCAUGCCAAAUUCGGAUGCAACAGAUCGUUUAUAGCUCUCUGAUUUUUGUUCUUUAAGAGAAGUGGGUGCGCAUUGUCAACUUUAGUAACCAAUUUCUAGUGUGAUCAUUGUUUUAAGUUCUAGAAGAAAAUAUACCUGUUGAGGGUGCAACGUACAGUUUCUAUUACAGAUUUUGAAUACAUUACAUCGUCUACUGAAAUAGUAUAAGAAAACAAGUUUCUCAUGUAUGGAUCAUGUGCUCUUCAAUGAUGAUCGAUGAUAUUCAGUUCGCACAACUAAGAAAAUAUAACAAAGAAAGAUUACAUAAUUCCAAUUGUAAGACCUAAAACGAAACCACUAGAGGCUGCUAGCAAAGACCAUUGUUUGGUGGCACAAUCCAUAUCGCAGGUGGGAUGGGAUUUUGAGGCCGGUAGAGUUGUGUAACUGUUUUGUUUGCUAAACUGAAGAUCCCAAUACCACCAUUCCAAAUGUCAUUUGUGAAGUAAAUGGAAUUUGGUUGGCACCUAGGAAAGUUUGAAGCCAAAACAGUCAUGGAAUGAUUAUCACCCAAGAACAAAGCAUCAUCCCCAAUGCUAUCCACCACAUUCUGCUUCACGAUGCUCCCAUCUUUGUCACUGAACAACACCUUGUACACCACAAAAUUGACAACCCCCAGCUUUUGAUCAACACCUUCCUUUGGUUUCAAGAACUUUCGAACAUGCAGCAAGUCUCCAUUGCUUGAUUCAACAAGAUAUGCCUUAUCCGCUUUGUAUGGGAAAACCGGGUGUACCAUUGGUCUUAAAGGUGUACGUAUAAUUGCCUUUGGGUGGCUUGAAGGAUCAUCACUACUGUUGAUAUCAACUGAAGCUAUUAUUCCCCCUAGUCCAACUGCAUAGAUUUCAUUUCUGUGAAAAAUAGCAUCAGAAAACAUAUAUGGUUCCUCGAGGUAAGUCCAAUCUCUUUGUCCUGCUCUAAUGAAAGCCAACCUGCAACAAUUGUCGUAGAUUGCCACAACCACGUAGUUAUUCGGAUUUGAAGACGGAUCAGCUGAUAGUAUAACCUUACGGACAUAAUAGUGGUACUGCUUCUUCAACUCAUCCCGAUGCUUCUGCAACUCACUUUGGCAGCCUGGGAGAUCAUAAGGGGUUACCAAGGGAGGCAAAUGAAUGGCCUCUGCCUUUCUGAAAGGAUUCAAAAGAGUUAUAGCGAAAGUUUCAUCCGCUGUGGCCAACCAACCAUGACUGGAGCCACUGCACCUCUUAUCAUAAGGCACCGGUAGUUGAACAUUUGUAUAGAUUUUUCCUUCAGAAAGGCUACAAACCAUUCGCUUUGUUCGGCUACCGAAGGGGAUCAUGAGCAUGGGAAGUACCUUACACCAGCGUUGAGUUGUACGAUUAUGCGCUUUCGAAACAUCGUUCCAAUGCUUGCAAACGACAGCCAAACGAACAUGGUCGAUGAGUUCGAACAACUUAUCCAACGUUAGAAAGAAAAUGUCCAUAGGAAGACUCGCCCAUUCAGAUACUGAUGUGUAACUAGUGUUCAAGGCAAAAUCCUUAUCUGAACGCCGGGGCUUCUUAGUUGACCUACAAUCUAUUCAUUCUUAGUAAGACGUACAGAAAUACAUGUCACAUACGCCAAAAGAAAUCAAGGGACAAGAGAAAAUUAAGAAACCCCAACCCCAACCCUGAACCCUAAACGACUGGACAAUAUAUAGAUGGUGAGAGUGCUUAAAAUUAACAGAUUUUUCAAACUGGGGCAGAAAAUUACACAAAUAAAAAACCCUAAUUUUUCAGACCCAAAUGCAUGUAUCACUUGUCUUAAUAGCAUUUGUAAGAGGGAACUUCUAUCUGUGUUUGAUUCAGAGAAACCUUUUAACUACAUAUUCUCGUUUGAUUGUUACAUUAUGAUUUAUAAACAAAAACCCACUAUCAGAAUAAAAUUCAAGAAUUGUCAUACCUAUCCGGAGGGAUUUCACACUCCAAACUUCUCUUGUUCUUGUUAUUACCAGGCUGGACCUCAAUCAUGGAGCUUCGGUCUUUGACGUCGGUACAGGGAUUGCGAUACCCUACUACUCGGCAAACAUGGAAUUCAUAUAUUAGUAAGUCUAUAACGGAGUCAAAUUAAGAUGAACUAUGAGAAAAAAAAAAAUCUAGGUUUUUGAUCAGGAUGGAGACUUUACCCUGUUUCACUGGAGAUUUGCCAACAACAGCCAUCUUCCGAUUUUUGGUGUUGCGAAGGUUUCUCUAUUGAAACUGCAGCGUAUGUUUCCUCUCUCUUUUCUGGGGAUUUCGGCAGAAUUGCAUAAGAAAUCAACCGAGGUCUGAAAUUAACCACGAGAAGAUCGAAUUCUAGAAGAUAACUUACUUAUCAAUCAGUAACAUACUUUGAAAAGUUCAUCAAAAAAAAAAAAAAAACUUUAGAAAGAUCAAAAUUAAUUCUAGAAGAUAACUUACUUAUCAAUCAGUAACAGACUUUAAAGAGAGGAGCAAAUAAAUUGUAAGAGAAUUCGGUGUGCUUCGUCUUUUUUCUUUUUUCUUUUUCUUCAGAAAAUUAGUAUACACCUAGCUUAUUUAUACUGGGCGAUGAUGAUGAUGAUUAAGUUAAGGGCAUGUGGUUUGGGGCUUUAAACAAGCAAAACCGUAUAAAAUAAAAUAUCUGGCUGGAAAAGGAAAUUUUUUACAAAGAUAUCUUUGACAAGGAAAAUUAAUUAGCAAAUAUUUUUCUGAAAUCAGCUAGAAAAUAUUAUGUAUAUUCAGGGUUAGUAAGUUUUUUUUUUUUUUUUUGAAACUCCCAUUAUACCGGCCAUUGGUUAAUUGAAUUUGUUUCUAUGUAAUAAAAAUAUUAAUGAAGGAUGAAUCAGUAAACAAUAAAAACCGAAAUACAGUUUCUCAUUAGGAAAAAAAAAAAGAAAAGCCUGUCAAAAAUAUAGAUUCAAAAAGCCAAUUAAUACUAAAAAUUGAUAAAAGAUAAAGUGUAGAGACAAAGAGAUAGCAAGAGAGUCCUUAUCUUAUUCAUUGAUAGGAGCCCUUUAUAUAGGGAAUUACACAAUACCAAUAUGGUAAGGAUAUGAAUACAUAGAUCUAGUCUAACUACAUAUCCUAUUGGCAUAAGGCCAAGACACACAUAGAGAAUAUCCUAGAACACUCCCCCUUGUGCCGCGCGCUGAUAUGCCGAUGGUGCUGAUCUGUUGCCUCGUCAAAAACCUCGUCAAGUUACAAAAACCCUGUGGGAGAAAAACUGAACUUUGAUCGUAGGAGAAAAAGAGUACAACGCACCCUUCACAUUUGAUAGUGACAUGUAUGUAUGUGCUAGACUCCCCCUGAAGUUCGUACCUCCCCCUAAUCUUUACAUCAAUCAUAGGGCUCUUCCUGAUUCUUACUAAUCACGGAAGUUUCAAAAACUUAGCAUGUCAAUGCUUUUUAACAUGUCUUCAAAUGUGGCAUUGGGCAAUGAUUAACUAAAUCAUGCCGUAUUGUCCUCAAAUGAUCUUUUACACUUAGAUCUUGAGGAGAAGGUCGCUUGUGAACUCAAAACAUAAGUUCGUGUAGGAAAUCAGGUUUUCGCGCAGCAUGACUUUCAAUUACUAGAACAGUCGUAACUUCCUCUAGGAAAUACAUAUGAAUGAACCGUAAACGGUUUUGGAAACUAGACUCAUUUAGCUUUCCAACCGUAUAUUACACACAUUCUGGUUCAUCAGGAGCUGUUCACAAAAUCCCGUCGAAGUUGACUGUUUUGCCAAAAUCAGAUUCUCGGACAGAUUCGUUCUACUUUACGAAAACGGCCAUAACUCACUCAAUAUGAUAGGUAUGAUCAAAUGGUUGGUGUCUCUAGAAAGUAGACACAUAGACCUUUCCAAUGGUACCAAUUUCACCAUUUUCCAGUGAGUGAGAUUUCCUAUAGGUCCCGUGGAAGUUGACCUACAAAAUUUGGUAGAUUCUGAUUUCGCUUUUGAUGUGUCUUUCUUAUGUAGGGAUAGAAUAAGCCUCAACCUUUCAUACCAUUAAGUAUUGAAAAAGGAGUUACUGCCAUUACAUUGGCGUUGCGUGGGCGCAUAGCUACACUUAGCUUUACAACUUUUCAUAGCGAAUGAGAUGUCAAGUCUUUCGUAUUGUGUUAAGUACAUUGAUGCGUCUUAUUGUACUUAGAUGGGAACUCCAUCUCUUAACACAUAUUUGUCAUCUUGCUUUAGAAAAAACAACGGAUCUCUCUUUAGAGCAAAGACCUUGACUAAUCAUGGGAGUAUAUGUAGGCCUCACUAGUUAUAGAGCGCCUAAGCCGAUUGAUGGAAAAUCAUAAUCAAUACAGUCAUCGAGUGCCUUAUCGAGAGCAUGUCUUCCCAAGAUCUUUUUCUUCGGAUGUUGAUACAUAUUGGCAUCUCUUGAUCCAUCAAGAGUCCAUGUAAAUCCGGAAUGAACACGCAAAGGCAUAAUUCAUCAUAUCUCUUCCAAAUCAAGUAGAGUACAUGUGCGUUUCAAUACAUUUAGCAAACGCGUGCUCCUGUGGUCUGGAGCCACUUGAUUCAGAUGAAUGAAGUCCGUGUAAGAUCUUCAUGUAUAUCUCUGAUCCCAUAGAGAUGUUAUUAUGACCACAUUCAUAGGCUGCAUGUUCAGUUAUUCGGAAACUACCAAACUGACAAAGUAGUGGAGUUCAAUUACAUCCAUUACGAGAGCAUAUCUCAUCGUAGUUGAUCCCAGUGCGUGAUAGUGAGAGACCUUGCGCCAUAAGGUGAGUCUAAACUCUUAUUCUCACUACGCUAUCUAACAAAAGUAUAGUUGAUAGGGUUUAGCUUGCGGUGUCGGCAUCACCUGCCCAAGGACCUAUCUCUUUGUUAAUGCUGGAUCGCAUCUUUCCAUUAGGCCAAUCAACUAAGUUGAUAUUCAUCAACGAUGGGUGGUUCGAUAGUAGACUCAUUAUCCCACGUCCUCAUGUACACUAGUGUAAUACUUGUAGAGAUCUCUAUAUGGAUUGGAUUUGACAUUGAGGCGUUCCCCAACGAUAAUCACAAUUCAGACUUCAUGAGACGGAUUUGAGUAUCACUAAUCAAUGGAUUAGGUUGUGCCAAGCUCGCUUUCUUCCUAGUGCGAGAAAGUAUCGAACCUAAGGGUCUCCCUCCUUUUGGGGAGCCACACGGCCUUGUGACACCAAUUUUGCCACUAUAUGGCGUCACUAUAUCACCAUCCAUGGUGAUGGCGUCAAGACCAACACUUUUUGGUCGCGCCAUGUCCUUUUGUAGGACAUCAAUCAUUGCAGACAUAUUUGCAGCAUGUGAUCUCGUCACUUUAACACUAUAAGCAUUUGGGAUCAAGAUGAGACUUAGUGGGGACAAACCACGACAAUUCACGUUGUUCCACUUGAACACUUGUGUUCUUAUCUCCCCCUAACGGCGAGAAUAUUGUCUCAUCAAAGUGACAAUCCGCAAUUUAGCGGUGAAUGAGAUCGUCUGACAAGGUUCCUACAUAUGCGGAUUAUAGGUGGAGGUUCAUAUCCAACCUAAACUUAUUCAUCUCAAAUGACCCAUCAUUGUACGCAGUGGCAAUGCGAUUUGACACCUAGAAAUAACAUCUAGCCGAGCUCAAGGAUUGGAGAUUCGUUUCAAUCCUACCGAGCUCAACGAUUGCAAUUUCAUGUCAAUCCUGAUACACAGUCACGAGCUGUAGUACAACAAAAUUCAAUGAUGGUGGGUCGUAGAUGAAUAGUAAAGCUGCAUGCAAAUAUUGCAUAGCCCCAAAACGCAAUAGAAAGAGUGGUGCGCAUCAAUAAUGUUUGAGCGACAAGCUAAAGUUGCUUAGUCGUAGCCUCGGUGAGAUCGUAUUGCGUGUGAACAUGGGGUACAUGACACUUCAACUUACAUCCUGAUGAACUUCUUUAAAGAAUGGAUAGUGAGCCCGUAGAAGUAUAAGCAGUAUAAGCAGUAUAAGCAGUAGAUAAUAGUGUAACACGUGACCAGUGUGUUAACACGUCAACCAACACCAUAAAGCAUAAAAAGGUGUCCGCAAGUUGGUUGUAUCUAUCUACAUAGUUUGAUGUAAGAAUAGAAUGUUCACUUUUGUGUUAUUUAGCGUAGGAGGGUCUCACUCCUUAUUUAGCUAAAGAAUAGGCUUUCAAAACGAGCAAUGAGCAUUGCAGGGGGCCAAUGCGACAUCGAGGAAAGGCCGGUGCACCUCAAUUGCUUAAGGAAUUGACCGGACGACCUCCAGGAAGUUGGAGUCGUGUUCGGGUGACGUCAAUGUCCCCCGGGUCACCACCAUGCUUCAUGGUGAUGCUAGAUCUCGAAUGUCUUCGUUUUGAGCGGAAGAAUGGAUGUCCAUGAGAAUUUCUCAAAAUUUGGACCAUUAUAUCUCUUCCAGGUUGACCAAUUUGGUCAAACCAAAGCUUAUAUGAGUCAGUGUCCCAAAUAUCAUGUUUGGCGACAACAUGGGAUUCGAUAUUCGAAUCGUAGUGACAUACAGUUCACUACAUUGACUCAUGAAUUUCUCCAAGAUGCGCUUCAGUUCGCAUUCAUGAGGAGGUAUACACAAAAGAAUUCUUGUUCAUUCUCACAAUGUGUUUUCAAAUGAAAACCAUUAGCAUGAAUGUUUUUAAAGCUCAACAUGGUUCCUUAGAAUGUUGUGGAUAGUUCCACUAUCUGCGAAGCACUCAAUGUCUCUAUGAGAGACAACUACAAGGAGUAUAUAGGCGAGUAAAUAGUUCUACUUGAACCAUUUAGAAGGAUUGAAAUAAGCUACGAAAAGCUGCAAUCCCGAGAGUGCAUAAAAAUUUCCUCGCAGAAUGACCUUUGCGCACUAAAACAGCCAUAACUUCUUCGUUAAAAUAGAUAUGGACGAACCGUGAAAAGUUCUGAAAACUAGACUCAUAGAGCUUUCCAAUGAUAUAAAGCUCACUGUCUGGUUCGUCCGGAGCUAUUCACAAAGCUCAAACGAAGUUGACUGUCCAGAAGGGACAGAUUGCUGUUUUUCGCAGAUUUGGCAUGUGCGAAGCUGUGAAGCUUGCAGGUGGCGUGUAGACUUUUGCCUUAGCCAAAAGUGACGUGUGUAUGAUCAAAACCAAGUCCUUUCGAUCGUUCUAAGGUCGUAAACUCCACGACUAGUUAGCAAAAGCUCCCUGACAUGAACAUAAACUAACUCAGAGGACCUAGAGGAUCCGAUUGUGAUGAUAAUUUUCCAGCUUUGAUAAGUCUUCAACGUCUUUUGCAAGACGGCAAUUGGUUUAAUAGCGUAGGGGGAUCCAAAAUCAAAAGCUUUCGGUAACUCCAAGUCAGUAUAACCAGGCAUGUCCGUGGAGGGUCGGUAGUGCGAGGCACACUUAAAACCACUCUCUCCUUAAUUUCGGACAAUUCUAAGACAUCACACUGAGCUUGGAUGAGCCUAGUUGAACAAUUGAUGAUGAAAAAUCCGCUAUAGGGUAGAAGAUUUGACCGGAAACACGUGGGCGAUCCUCCUUGAGGAUGCAGUGCCAUGAGUCACCUUCAAAGGAAGGGACCAAAAUGGGCACAAUAUGUCAUGUUUCUAAGGACGAUGUAAGUGUACAUCUUGAUUGUAAAUCAAUAUGAACCAUAAGAGGAGAAUAGUUUCACUUCGAAAAAUUCUCAAGGCAUUCAUUAUUGCUAAUGUGAGUACAUCGAGGUCUCAAAUAGACAAAGGACGUCGAUACAACGCCUUAGUACAUAUAACUUGGAACGAAAAUCAAUGUCUAGCCGAUGACAUCAAAGUCAUGGGUAGCUAGAGCAGGAUCCGAAUCUUUGAAAUUCGCGAUCAUGAGGAUGACGUUCUUGUCCUCAUAUUGAUUUUCCAUACCUUUUUGUAUGCAUUCACAAUUUAAAGAAGCUUGACAAUCUUGAACCAAUGAUCCGAAGAUCCACAACGGUUGCAUUAAUGUCAUGAGCUGACUGAAUAGUUUUGACAAAAUGGUGUCUAGACCGGGAGUGUCGCUUUUAGAGCCGGCAACACCUCCCCCUCUUUUCUAGACAUCGGCACGACGUUUUCUGCCGUUGCCAUGACCCAUAUUGUUGUCCCCACAUUAGGGGAUAAUCCCAAAUAAAUUUAUCACAUUAGCGUAUAUACAAUUCCUGUUUGUAUGAUCAAAAUCAAGUCUCGUUGGUAAUUCCACACCAACUUAGAAGACCUAGAGAACUUGAUGAUGAUCGAAUCCGCUAAAGAUUAUGGAUCAUGAUGCCACAAAAGAUCAUCGACAAUAUGUAGUCAAUUAAAGUGGUAAGCAAUCCACUUGACUAAUAACUCAACAAGUAGAGUUAUAUGGACGUUUCAAGAAACGCUCCAUGAGUGCAUUCCACAGUACUUUGUGGUCAUUACUUUUUGCACAGAUUGCCAUUGAAUGCUUGUCGAUGUGGCGUCUCAAAAACUUUGAGCGCAGGAGAUGUGAAAUCUCGGCAUCUAGGCUUGUUAGCCUGGGGGUCAAAACAUGUAGUUUAAUCCUUUCCAAUGAAAGGUUCCACAGAUACCAAGCGAAGAUCCGCCUUAGGCAUCUAGUACGUCAAAACUCAAAGGAGCAGAAUGUUACAUUGCUCUUGCAUACAAAACCAAGCUGUUAUGAGACUCGAUAGAGGUUCGGAUUGAUCAUACACAAUCCGGAAAAGCCGCGAAUUGAUCAAACACAAUUCGGAAAAAGGACUCGGAUUGAUCAAACACAAUCCGGUGAAAGGUCGGGGUUGAUCAAACACAACCCGGACAAAGAAACAAGAGUGAUCAAACACACUCUUGACCCGCGAAUAAAAUUUCGGGAUUUGGGUACCUGCACGCACAAAAUCCCAAGCAUAGAAUGGAGAUGGAGAAGGGAGAAAAGGAUUUUAUCCUCCCCGAGUUAUUGAACUUGGAAAAGUUUAAGGUUUCAAUAAACAUACAUUUCUAGAGGCUGCCGAGAGGAGAAAUAACGUUUUGCCUACUUAUACUUCGAAUUUGGGGCUGAAAAUUUGACAGGAGGAGAAGCUCUGGAUGGGGAAGCUGCUGUCAAAAUUUCAGGUUGAUCGGAGGAAGGGAAGGUGGUGAACCGGUGGUCGGUAGCGGCGGUGGUCUGGAAUCUUCCAGCGGCCGGUUCGGAGACUUUCCGGCCGGUUCUCAGGGUGAGACCGACGGCGUUGGAUCCGGGGCGGAGAGAGCUUUCUGGGGAUAUAAAAUUCCGGCAGAGGGCAGUCGGAAUUUGGGUCGGAAAUCGGUGAAAACAAGGCUGUCCGAUUUUAGGGUUUGGAAAACAAAUGGUGACUAUUGGCUCUAGGGUUAGAACAAAGUGCAUGAUAACGUGAUAAAGGAUAAAGUGUAGAGACAAAGAGAUAGCAAGAGAGUCCUUAUCUUAUUCAUUGAUAGGAGCCCUUUAUAUAGGGAAUUACACAAUACCAAUAUGGUAAGGAUAUGAAUACAUAGAUCUAGUCUAACUACAUAUCCUAUUGGCAUAAGGCCAAGGCACACAUAGAGAAUAUCCUAAAACAAAAAUCUUAUUCACAUGCCAAUUCCAAUGAAUCUUAACAAAAGGACAAAUUUGCCCCAACCUAAUCAAUAAGCUAGGUUCUCUCUAUCACCACCAUUCAUUCCCCGUCUCUUGAAGCAGAGGAGUCGACGCCUCUCAAGGAUCUCCCAGGUGCACCUCUCACCGGAACCGCCGCCGACGAGAUUAGGAUGCACCUCACUAUCCAGGACAGAGCUCCCCCGCCGCCGCGCGCUUGAAUUUUGUCCAGAACAAAAGCGGUGACAACGUGGAUGAAGCGUUUGACAGAUUUCGCAACGACGACGCCGCCAACGGCGUCCAACAACAUCACUAUCGGUUUGAUCAAGUGGCCUCCGAGCUUUCCGGCAAGGCGGCGAUGACUGGGCAUCGGAAGAACAACGUGGCCAAGAAAGAAUGGAACUGGAUCCUUGACCCGAUCGAGUUCCUUCUAAGCCAAUUCAAUCUCCGAUCACGCAGAUUCAGCCUCAGCCCGCCAAUUCAAUCUCUGAUCACACCGACUUCAGCCAUAGCUUGCCAAUUCAGCCUCAACUCUUGGCCGAGGUUAGGGUUUAAUUUUCCAGCUUCCUUCCUCUGUAUAUCAUUGACUAUCUAUAAAUGAGUUUGCAUGUAAUUGGGGAUUUCUAUGAGUUUGCAGUACAAAGAAGACUAUAAAUGUGCGGCUGGUGUACAAAAUCAAAGCCUGCGCUUGGUUGAAGAUGAAAGAAGUGACGUCGUGUUUGUCCAUUAGGUGGUGUUGAAGAGAAUAGCUAGGUUGCAGUGUUGUCCAUUUAAUAACAUUUACUGGAGGUUAAUAAACAUCUAUUGAAGGUAGUAAAUUUUUUUAACUAAUUAUUAGGGGUCAGUAACCCGAUUAUUGGGGGUCAGUAACUGAUUAUUGGGGGUCAGUAACCAAGCUAUUGGGGGUAGUAACCCGAUUAUUGAGGGUCAAUAACCAAGUUAUUCGGGUUAGUAACCCGAUUAUUGGGGAUCAGUAACUGAUUAUUGAGGGUCAGUAACCAAGUUAUUGGGGGUUGGUAACCGAGUCACCAGUGACCGAAAUCCGGCAACCGGAGUCCGGCGGUGGGUGACCGGAGUCUAGUGAGAUUCCGGCUAAGUAUUCUCUCUGUUCCAUUUUCUCUCUCUAUGCAUGUUUAAGGGGUGAGGGUAAAAUAGUCUUAAAAUAAUAUGGUUUGUUAAGACUUCAAUAAAGAUUUGUAUAUUUGGGCAUAGAAAAAGUUACUUUAUAUUGGCAUGAGCUCAUGUAAAAAUUGUCAUUGGAAUAGAGAAUGAGGCCUAAAUUAGUACUAAAUGAGCAUUUCUCAAAAAAGUUAUCGGGGAUUCAUCUCUUUUUCUAUUAUUGAAUCUGAUACCAAAAGCUACCCCUGUAUCCUCCAAAGUAUUAAAAACCUUCAGAUUUUGGCUCUAGAUGUAUUGCAUCUUCUGCAUGCAUAUAUACCAAGAUUAAUAAGAAAAUUUACGGCUGUUUCCUUAUUGAUUUAAAACCGACAAACUGUAGAUGGCUAGCUGUAACUGCAUUACAAACAACUUUUGUGAAAAGAGACCAGUGCAGAUUAAAUUUGUGAAAAAAGAAAAAAGAAAAAAGAAAAAGUGAAGCUGCAACAAAACCCGCAGCAAAGCGCGGGGGCAAUAGCUAGUCUAAUUCUAGUUUACCACACAGCUACAGUGAACUUCUCUCCAUUCGAAAAAAAGGGAUCAGAGCUAUAAACGAUCUGGUGUAUCACAUUACUUCAC
rnacentral:lncRNA from 1 species